rnacentral:lncRNA from 1 species
UUCACCCUCUCUCUUCAUCCUAUUGAUCCAAAGUAAAGAAACGCAUCGUCCUUAAAUCCUAGCCCUACACCUUCUUACCCCUAUUUUCUCCCUCAUAUCAAUUCUAGCCACUAGAUCCAAAAAGCUAUAAUCCUAGCCCUUAGAUAAUGAUUUUGUAUCCUAAUCCUUGAAAUUUAGAGAAAUACAACAAACACACUCUUACUCAAUCCUAUCCCUAUGCCUCUUGAAUCCCUUCUUCUCCCUCUCUAGCCCAUGAAAACCCUUGAUAUGGUAUCAGUUAUAGCCACUGCAUAUAGAGAGCCUUAAUCUUACCUCGUAAACUAAAAUCUUCUAUCAUAUCCCCUGAAAUCCAAACAAACACAAUACACACAUUCUUAUUAAAUCAUAGCUCUUGAACCUAUGCACUUGACCAUUAUUUACCCUUACAUUUUAUUCAAUAGGAUCAAUCCAUCUAGUACAUAAUAUCAAUCCAUAGAUCUAGGGCUUUCUCGCCCCCUCCUAAUUCCUAGCCCUUACGCCACCCUGCUCUCCUAUAAAUAUUCUAUCAUUCUAACCCUAAAUAAUAUUGUGAUACUCAUUUCCUCAAUGUGUCUAGGUUUUCUUUCUGGUAAACCAUUUGGCUCAUAAAUAUGAGGACAAACCUCUUGUGGGGCUAAUAGUUUUUAUUUCCUAUCUUAUGCAAAACCUUUUUUUCCUUUGCUUGGCCCAUCCCCUUCUAGGAGUAUUUUAGUGAUAAAUUCUAUAGAAAUUGCACAAUCCUUUUUAGUCAAAUACCUCACGAGAAACUCCUAUAUUCCUUUCAUUAAGGUAUUUUCGUAUAAGCUUUUGAAUAAUAGGCCUAUAGGUUAUCUAAUUGAUGAUAUUGAUGAUAGUAAUGAUAUUGAUGGUCACCUUGCAAUAGAGCUGCAAACUAUGAUGAAUGUACUAACAUCGUAUAUGAACAUGGAAAUAGACAAACUUGAUUUCGCCCUUCAAUUCAAAUUAGCAAAAUCACUCACCUUGCGUAGUAUGGAUUAUUUAGCACCAUCACAUUGAAAAAUUUUAAUUUUAUUGCCUAACUAAUUUCCAACCAUAUUUUGAAAAUCUCUAAACAAGCAAUGCUAUCAGAUUUGUGCUUCAUAGGAUAAAUUCAUGCAAAUUUGCUAAUAUCAUCAAUAAAUAUAUAUAAUAAUGGAAUCCAAAUAGCCCUAGAAUAUCACAAUGAACUGACUAAAGAGUAUUAGAAAUAGAUCUAUUUAAUAAAUUAACCAAAAGGCAAGUGUUUAUAUUUUCUAGUUUGAACAAGGCUUUUUCUAUGUUAUUCUGGGCACUAAAGUAGAACCACUAUCACUGAAUAAGGCUUUCUAUCUGUAUAGUUUUCUACUAAUUAAUUGCUCCACAUCUUUAGCAAAAAUCGAUCCAGGAGGAACAUCGACUUGAUGUAGACCACUUUGGCUACUACGAGUAGACCUGAAUACAAACCAAGAGUAAGAUUCACCACAUCUAGUAAAUCGAGUUGCGUGCCAUUUUUGGAGGUCAUAACUUGAUAACUUUUCAAGAUCUGCGGCUUAGCACUAAUCUUUUAAAAGAUUAAAAUAGACCAAAAUUCCAUUAUUUGGACCUCGAAAUGGGAUGGUCAAAUCAAAAGUAUCCUUUUUGAAAAAGAUUUUGAUGGAAAAUAUCUUUCAAUCCAUGAAAAAUUAGAUAGAGUGACAGGAGGCAAAGUUGAUGUAGAAGUCAAUAUCUAUCUUUUAGAGAAAAAGAUUAUCCAACUCAUGAAGAUCAUGUCUCGAUUGAUAAGGCCUUCAACAUAAGUACUAACAACUCCUGUAGUGAGACUAGCUCACAUGUUUGGAAAUGAGGAUAUAUCCUCUAGGAAAGAGGAUGAGCAUCCUAUAAGCACUUAGAAUCCUCCUCUUCAACCUUUUAAAGUCAAAGUGAUGGAAUUGAUUAACUUAAUGAAUUAUAAAUCAUACCUUGAUUCGCGAAAUCCAUCUUUAANNNNNNNNNNNNNNNNNNNNNNNNNNNNNNNNNNNNNNNNNNNNNNNNNNNNNNNNNNNNNNNNNNNNNNNNNNNNNNNNNNNNNNNNNNNNNNNNNNNNNNNNNNNNNNNNNNNNNNNNNNNNNNNNNNNNNNNNNNNNNNNNNNNNNNNNNNNNNNNNNNNNNNNNNNNNNNNNNNNNNNNNNNNNNNNNNNNNNNNNNNNNNNNNNNNNNNNNNNNNNNNNNNNNNNNNNNNNNNNNNNNNNNNNNNNNNNNNNNNNNNNNUUGUCAAGAUGUGGGUUCUAAUUAAACGGGAUCAGGGUUUAAUUAAACGGGAUCCAACACAAAGGUCAAAUUGAUAUCUUUGUAUAUGAUGAAACCUUCGAUGCAAAGAAGCUGGAUAAUUAGCUAGACCAGUUAGAGACCUACUUCACUAUCUAUGGAUACUCUAGUAUCCAGAAGAUAGCUUUUACCUCCAUCAAUCUUUUCAAACACUCCCUCAUCUGGUGGAAUUUGUACAUAAUAAACAACGAUGUCUCUAACCUAAUAUGGAGCAAAUUCAGGGGUCUAAUCAAGAAGUAGUUCUACUCAAUCAACCAUGAGGAGGACGGUGGAUCAAGUAGUGGCAGUACCUGCAGUAGAAGUAUGAUCAAUGUAUUCAGGAUUAUACCAUUGAGUUCGACAAGCAAGCAAUCUCACUCAAAAUCUCCAUUAGUGAUCAUGCGGUCUUCAUAAAGUAUGUCGCAGGUCUCCAUGAGAGUAUUAAAAAGAAUCUAAAGCUCUUCAAAGUUGAAGACAUCAGCAAAGCCAGCAUGAAGACCAUAGGGAUCAAAGAGAAAAAUCAUCCUAGGAAAGGCAAGAAGGGCGACAAGUUUAAAAAAGAGAGUGGAAGAUCAACCCAAAAGGAGCAGAGCUAAAAGCAAGCCAACAUAACUUAGAAAAAUUAUUACAACCAAAAUAACAUCGGUGGGAACACCAAGAAGAAGUAUUAGAAGCUUCACUCUAAGUUGCAGUCUAAGAGAAAGAAGUCAAAGGACAAAAAUUUCAAAAACAAAAAAAGGUGAUCCUCAAUAUAAUAGAGGUUGAGAAGCUGCCAAAACUCGAGCAAGCAGACUCAAAACUCAGCCUGAUGGUGAAAAAAUACAAGACAACAACUGAAGCAGGCCUAGAUAUGUGAGAUGAUCUCUUCCACUUGAAGAUUUAGGUGAAGCAGAGCAUCAUCAGGGCUAUCGUAGAUCCUAGAAGCCAAAAAAAUUCCAUAACUGAAAGCUUGGUUCAGAAGCAAGAGAUGAAGCCUCAUCCACAUUCUUACCCUUUCUUCUAGAUUCAGAAAGAUAUCGAGUUGGAGAUUACUAAGUAGUAUACCUUCAAAUUCGUAGUUACUAAGGGCUCGUUUGGUUCGCGGAAAGCAUUUUUCCUCCUAGGAAUAUGAUUCCUGGGAAACAAAUUCCUAGGAAAAGGAUGCCUAGGAAAGUACUUUUGGCAUGUUUGGUUGACCAUGGGAAAAUGGCAAAUUUCUAAAGUGCUUAUGUUUGGUUGGCCAUCCACUUUUCUAGAAAAGUUAUGUAUAAUUCCUAUUAUGCCCUUAANNNNNNNNNNNNNNNNNNNNNNNNNNNNNNNNNNNNNNNNNNNNNNNNNNNNNNNNNNNNNNNNNNNNNNNNNNNNNNNNNNNNNNNNNNNNNNNNNNNNNNNNNNNNNNNNNNNNNNNNNNNNNNNNNNNNNNNNNNNNNNNNNNNNNNNNNNNNNNNNNNNNNNNNNNNNNNNNNNNNNNNNNNNNNNNNNNNNNNNNNNNNNNNNNNNNNNNNNNNNNNNNNNNNNNNNNNNNNNCCAAACGAGCCUAAGAGGUAAUUGACUAGGUAAUUUGCACAGUAGUUUUUUUGGAUAUUUGCUAGGUCAUUCUUGGGAGCCUGUACUUUUAAGAUCCAGAUGUAGUCCUCUACAAGUGGCAGAGGAAGUAUCAUCCCAUAAAGAACGAGAAAAAAUUUAUGAUCACUGCCUUUAAAAUACAAGCGAUAUAGAUGGUUCAUUAAGAUCAGGAGCAAAAAAGAGCAAAGCUGGAAACCAUCUUCAAGUAAAGCCAAGUAGUUCAAUCGUGAGGCAAGGAAAUAGGUAUUUUCUACCUUCAAUUCUAAUUUAGUAUGAGCUAAAUUUUCUAAACAAGAAGAGCUCUGAUCUAGUAGGACCACCAAACUUAAUGUGGACUAAUUUAGCCACUAUAAGUAAAGUUAGAUAUGGUAUAGAAGCAAGAUCCAUCAUAUUGAAAAGUUGAAUCAUGAGCCAAAUUUUUAGAGGACUUAAUUUGGUUAUAUGACGCCAGACUGAGACGAUCUUUUUUCAAAAAAAAUCAAGUAAUAUUUCAAGAUCUACGACUUAGCGCCAACCCCUUAAGGGGUUAAAAUGGGCUAAGAUUCUAUUUUUUGGAUGUCAAAAUAGGUCAGCCAAAUCAAAAAAAUUUAUUCAGAAAAAAUUUCAUCGGACAUAUCUUUCAAUCCGUGAAGAAUUAGGUAGAGAGAUAGAAGGCAAAGUUGAUGUAGAUGUCAAGAUCUACCUCAUAUAGAAUUUUAGUUUUUCUUCAUGUUUAUUUAUAAUAGUCACGUUUAUUUUUGGAAAGCUAGUCCUAUUCGAACUAUUUAAAUGCAUAUUAAUUUUCAAUAUAUAAAAUUCAUAUAGCUAUUCCAACACCAAAUGCACGUCGAAUAAACAUUCCAAAUUAACAACUAUUUAUAUUGCAGCAAUUAAAGCCAAAAUGUAUCCAAUGCCUUUGCAUGAAUAAAAUACAUAAACAAAUUAAAAAUAUACACAAACUCACAUCUUCAAAUAAAGUAGAAAAAUAAGUUCUCGAUCACAUAUGCCCAAUUUGUAAAAGUAGUUUAGAAGAACCCAUCAACUCAUAGAACCUAAAAGGAAAAUAAAAGUAUGAAAUAGAUGAGUCAUAUAUGAUAAUAAAAAUAUUAUUUAAAAACAUCAAAUAGUAGUUGUUAAUGUUACUAUUAGGUCUAGUAGAUGGAAGAUCAUCAAAAUAUGCAAGUGAGUGUAAUCAGUGACCUAUAAAGAGGGAAUCAUGAUAGCAGCUAGCAUCAUGAGCUUAGCAUAUUAAAAAGAUCAAGUAGAAAUAUUAGGUUCUACAAUUGUCAAAACAAAUAUAGGUUAUGAUGGAAAAAGACUUAGAGAAAAUUUAAUGUACAAAAUGGAAAGAAAAGAGUGUCUUUAUGUUCCAAAUCACAUGCACAUUGAAAUAUAUAGUUAAAAUCCAUACCUUUGCUAUAGCUAGAUUGUUUGCAGUAGCCUCAAAUCUAGAGACCAACUCCUAUAGCUGGUCUAUCUUAGUAUUUAUGCUUGGAACCUAAUUGCAGAGUUGCUAGACAUCAUUCUCAUAGGCUUGCUCCUUCUUGUUCAUCUUUGCAAUAUUUACUUUCUAAAACAUCUUUAGAGUUGGUCUAAAUCUAUUGUUUGUACACAGCCACAUCUAUUAGGUCCUAUUAUGUGAGAGAGUAUAUACCCUCCCAAGGUGCAAACCCACCUUUGGCAUGAGAGUAUGGAUAAAAGUGGACCAAAUAAUAUACAUUUAGAUCUAUUUUUAUAUCCAAAUCUAUCCGAAUAUGAAUAAAAAUUUGAGCAUCCGACUAAUAUCCAUAAAAAAAUGGAUAAGAACAUGGAUAGACAACUAUCCGAUCUGUAUCAAAAUAUCUGAUUUUAUUUAUAAUCCUAUUUAAUUUUAUAUAGUACUUAUAAACUUUUAAGUAAAAUAUAUGGCCAUAUUAAUAUGUUAUUAACUUGAUUUUUAUCCAUUUAGUAAUAUCUUUGAUUCUAUAGUCAUAAAAAUUAAUUAUCUACUUAUAUAUGUAUUUAUAUCCAUACUUCCACCAUCUAAUUUGUAUCCAUAGUUUUUAAAAAUAAAUAUAGAUAUUAAUUUUUUACAUCUAACUAAAAUCUAUAUCUAUAUAGGUGGACGUCAAACAAAAUAAAUAUAGAUAUAGAUAUAUUGAUAUCUAGUUUCCACACUAUCUGAGAGCAUUCAUUGCGUGCAUCCUGUGCACAUGCUUCAAAUAUUUGACAACAAAUACACACAUUGGCUAUUGACCAUAUUUUUUUGUGCAAGAUUUAUCACACAUAAUAUCUCCUCUCUUAUAUACAAUUAAAAUUGUUUAUUACUAUUGAAUCACAUAAAGUGAAUGACGCAUGCUCACCAGACCUCCAUCUCUUAUGUAAUCAUAUUUUUUUCUUACUCGGUCAGUAAUUUAUCAAUUUAACAUAUUACCAAUCAUAGAAAUGAGUCAUUUAUGCACCCUUGCCUUUUUCCUCUCUCGUUAGGAUUCUCAUCACCAUACUUUCCUAUAUAUUUAUGAAUGAUCGUUAACUUUUAAUUUUUCUUUUUUAGGUUUUCUAGCUACGAAAUAAAAAGCACAUUCCUUCUCAACCUUUCUCGGUUGCUGCCAGGUCAGCUGCAUCCAUUAAUUUCUGAUAUCCCGAUGAUAUAUCCUUUGGAAAGAUAUCCGGUUAAUAUCCUCAUUUGGAUAUCUCCAGAAAGAUAUCCCAACGUCAUGACUCGACUAUCCACGGUUCGAUCAUGAUCCACCAUCCCGGUCCCCCAUCCAUGGAAGGAAAUUCUUGCGCGGAACGCUCGGAGAUUUUACUCCCUUUCCGGAAAUGUCCCUUUCUUGCCGUUGGACGUUUCUAGGAAUCCCGCUUGGACAGCGAUUGAUGGAUUCCUAUAGGCCUAGUUUGGUAAUUUCAACACCAACCCAAUUGGCCCGCAGACAUGGCCGUUGCUGCUAGGUCAACUAGGAGUGCAGAUUUAAACAAAGUAAAAAAGACAAGAAAAAAGCCGGCCAUGGCUUCGGAGAUCUCGACCUCCUCUGUCUCUUUCACCUCUUUCUUAACGUUUAAACAUAGCUGAUCAUCCCAAGAUGAAAGAUAGUAUAGAUAAAAAUAAUAAAAUUAUUAUAUUUAGUUGUAUUAUGUUCCUAUCUUUAUAGGCAUCUAAAAUUCUUGGGAAGAGUUGAAGUUUGAGAAUAAAAAUAUCUUUCUAUUUAAUCAAAAAAUAAUUUAUUAAUAUAAGAUAAAUAUAUAUUAUAUUAUUUAUAUUCAUAUUAUAUAUAUAUUAUAUUUAUAAUAUAUAUUUUAUUAUAAUAUAUUAAAUAUAAUAUUUUUAUUUAAAAAUAAUUUUAAUUAUGGUACAAAUAUAAUAUCGUAUUUUUAUAUAAUUAUUUAUUAUAGUACUAUUAUUUUUCUUAUUUUUGUAAUCAAAAUAAAUCUUAGUAUUGAAAAUAAUAUAUUUAAAGAUAAAUAAAUUUAUUAAUUUUAUGAUAAUAAUUAAUAAAUUUGAUAAAAUUAAUAAUUCAUAGAAUUAAUAAAUAUUUUUUUAUUUAAUAUAUCGAUAGAUUUUUGAUAUUACAUGAUAAGUAAUUUUGGAUACAUAUAAAAUAUCAAACAGAUUAUUCGUAAAUAUUUUAAAAUUUUAAAAAUUAAAAUUAUUAUACUAAAUACGAUGACCAUGUUACCCUACCGGUGAUCUAAGGUGACUUAUUUGGGUCACAAAACGCUACCGUUUGUGUAAAUCCGUGUCUCCUUCCUCGUAUAUUCCCUUCUUCAUCGCGUUUCCCCCUUUUUCUGUUUGGCUUCGACGGUCUUUCCCCCAGAUCUUCGCCCCAAAACCUCCUGGCGAUCUGCAACCAUUUCUCCGCCGAUUUCGCUGCGCAAACGCGGAUUUCUUUAGAUUUUUGGUCUCAAUUUGGUGGAAAUCUGGAUUUCUUGAGGCGACUCGGUGUUUCUUAGUGGUGGUGGUGGCGGAGGGUUUAGGGUUCCGGGCGGGAUGGUGGCGAGGAUGAUGAGGUGGCGGCCGUGGCCGCCGCUGAUGACGAAGAAGUUCCAGGUGAGGAUGGUGGUGCAGCGGAUGGAGAGGGUGGCGGGGGUGGAGGAGGAGGAGGCGGCGGCCGUGAGGGUGACGGCGGAGGUGCGAUGGAAGGGGCCGAAGGGGAAGCUGAGCUCGCUGCGGCGGUCGGUGAAGAGGAACUGCACGAGGGAAGAGGAGGUGAGGGAUGGGGCGGUGGAGUGGAACGAGGAGUUCGAGAGCGUGUGCACGCUCACGGCCCACAGGGAGAACUCCUUCCAUCCAUGGGAGAUCGCCUUUGCAGUCUUCAAUGUGAGUUCUAAUUUGAGCACUUUGACGUCUUCAUUGAUUUCUUUGUUAGAUUUUACACAUUUUCUGAUCUCGUGUUUCGAUUGUCUUUGCAAUUGAUCUUUCUGUCUUGAAUGAUCACUUCGUUAAAUUUGACACAUUUUCUGAUCUCGUGCUUCGAUUUUCUUUGUUAUUGAUCUUUCUGUUAGAGUGUAAGAGGUUUAGUUUCUCUGUCUAUUCUGAGUAUUAUGAUUAGUCUAUUUGUUACCGCAACUAUUUGAUUUUGUUGAGAAGAUGGUUCAAUUUUAAUCUUACUCGCACUUUUGUUGGGGAUAAUUUUCUUUAUGAAUCUUUCUAUUCGUCCAACCUUUUCUUGAUUGAAAAAUCUUGUUUUAAGAUGUCUCUUCGUCUACAUUAGCUAUAUUCUUUGUUUGGCUUUAUCCAUGUGAAACGGGUUUCUAUCCUGAUCUGUUUAUAGGUGAUAUAAUUCCAUUAUAAUGCUCUGAUUUAUUUGAUACAGGUAUUUAUGAAUAUAUGUUCCUUCAUAUAGAGCUUCUGUUUUGGUGCUAAUCAUUGUAAGGCCUUAUAAAUUAUUCUCGAUUGGUAUCUUUUUCAAUAAAUUUGAAUCAUCAUCUGUAUCUGGCUAUGCAUGUCCAAAGUUUUUUCCCUAAAUUUUUGAGGCGUCCCAGUCCUAAUUCCUAUAUGUUUAGAUGUUUGGUUAUUUAAAGAAAGGGGCUGAAAAAUAGAAACUAUAUGUUUACAGUGAGGGAAAGAAUCAAAGGGAAAUUCGUAAUUCUGUCUUUUCAGGGAUUAAUUAAUCUUUAUUGUUAAAGGACAUAUCCGGCUACAAAAGCUUUUGCAAUUGUAAAAUAGAAAUAAUCACAUAAGAUCAUAGUCUUGUAGUCAGCCCUCCAAAACCCAUGCAUGGCCGCUUAUUUGCACGGACCUUUCUGCUGAUUUAGCAGCAGCCGGCCUGGCUCCUGCAGGGUCUGUGAAUGUGAUUUUUGGGAUGCAUGGCCAAUCAUGUGCAACCGUGUGGGCACAUAAGCUUGCAAAUGUUGAUAGCAAAUACUUUUUACUAUUAUAGAUUGCGCACUCAUUUUUUGUUCACUAUAAUGUUCCACCUGUUUUUUUUUGUAUUUCCUCAUUAUUAUGUAUUGUUCAUGUUGGAGCUUCGAAAGGUUAGAUGCCUAGUUGUAUACAAUUUGGGUUUUUGAUGGUAAUCUUCAUCUAAAAAUCAAGAUAUAUCUUCCUCAAAAGAAACAUGUGACGAAAUUCUUAUGAUCCUUCUUGUUGUUGUUAUUAUGCAUAAAACAGGAUUACUUGAAACUGCAUUGCAAAUGGUCAUGACUAAAUCAUGAAGGAAAUCAAGAUAUGCUGAAGAAAGUAGUAAAUUUUUUGUAGAACUAAAAUGCUUAGCAUUUAAAUUUUAUAUUUCAAACCCUAGGUUAUAUGAUUUAGGAUAUUUAUUAGAGUCUAGUUGGAAAGUCAAGACAUGCAGGUUAAAAUUGUUCUCUAUAAAGCGAAGAUCUUUCGAGGCUCGUUUGACAUUGUUAUGGGUGGUAGUGCUUUUGUUUGUAGCAAAGUUUGCCAUACCAGUAUUGGACCCCGUACCGGUGCCACUCUAGCAUAGUGUCGGUACAGUAAGGUAUGUAGUCCCUCGAUACACCAUCCGUACCGGUACCGAACCGGUACGGUAUGCCCGGUAUCGUUCGGUUCAGUACGGUAAGGUAUACUAUAGUUUUGUAGAGAUUUGGUAGUAGAGUUUUUGCUAGUAGAGCUUUUAAUAAAAAGUUGUUUGCUAUUUGGUAACUAUAUUUAUGAAGAGCCGUAGAACUUUUAACGUGUGUUUGGUAAUUAAACUAAGUAAGCACUUUUAGAAUCAAGAAAUUAUAAUAAAGGAUAUUUACAUAAUGCUUUCAAUUGUCUAAUUGUUGUACUAUAAAAAAUUAUUAUUAUUAGGUAUUCUUAAUUUAUAUUUUUUUGAUAUUUAAACUAAAUAAUAUAUUAAAUAAUAAUUUUUAAAUUUAUCAUAAAAAUAUUUUUGUAAUAUUAUUAUAUUACAAUAAUAUUUUUAUAAUAUACAUAAUAUGAUAUAUUUUUUUUCUAGUUUAUUAUAAACUUUGUUAUUAUAUUUAUUAUACGAUAGAAAUAUUAUAUUAUUAUAAUUGUAUAUAAUAAUAAUGAUGAUAAUAAUGAAAUAGUAUUAUAAAAUCAUAUAAUAUAAUAAAAUAUAAUUUUACAUUAUAUUAUAUUAUGUUUUAUUAUAUUGUAUUGUAUUAUUGUACUAUCAAAAAUUAUUAUUAUAAAGUAUAUUCUAAAUUAAUUUAAGAAUCGUCAUUGGGACUCUAACAUGGGUUUCUCGUCUAAAAAAUAUGCUUCUCAACACAUCUCAAUAGUGCUUUUUCCGAAAAGCUCCAAAUUGCAGUUUUUGUCUAGCAGACCUUGUUCAGCUUUUAGAAGAGUCAGAAGGCUGUUUCAAUAUUUUCACCAAAUACUUCAAAAUCAUCCAAGGGCGCUUUUGGCCCUCCAAGGAGCAUUUUUUGGCCCUCUAAAAGCAAUGCCAAAUGGGGCCAAAUGGGGCUUAAACAACAUUGAUUUUAAUUUACUUGGGGCUUUUCCAUCCAUUUUACCAACUUGACGAGGGAAAUGCUGGUGACUCAUUUUUGUAUUAGAAAUAUGCUUAUUAUUUUAUUCUUUGGCCUGAUUGUCUGUGGGCGUGUAUGUGGUGCAUGCACAUCUUGUCGAUAUAGAACAUUGACCUCAUUUUUCCUCUGAUUUAGGGCUUGAACCAGGGAUUGAAAAACAAGGCAUCUGUUCUCGGAAUGGCUUCCUUGAACCUGGCUGAGUUCACAUCUUCAGCUGAACAAGAGAUUGAGUUGAACCUUCCAUUGUUGCUGCCUGGUGUUGCUAAUGAGUCUCCUCCAUCACUUAAUGUAUGUCACUUUAUUUAUUGUGCUGUUUCGCCUGAUUAUGUUAUAUGAUAUAUGAUAUUUCUUAAGCAUUCUUCUUAUGUAUCUGACCGAGAUUGCUCAUUUGAUCGGUUAAGUUUACUGAAAAAGGCUAAUGCUGCUUAACAUAGUUGUGGUGAUCAUUCUUGUAGUUUGUAGCAUUAUUAUAUUUUCAUUUUAACCCAUUGGUCCUAUUAUGCUCAUAUUUAAUUCCCAUUUUUUACCAAUCAUAGAUUUUGUGACAUGGGAGCUAUUUUUGUUGCAGCUGGUUCUUAGUGUUUUGGAAUUGAGAGCAUCCCAAGAAUCGCCAGAGAUGGUACAGAGGCCUAUGGUGCCUGCUCCAUUGUCACCUACUACCGGAGAUGCUCUCUCUUCAGACAAAGAUGAGCUUUCUGCUCUUAAAGCUGGAUUGAGAAAGGUGAAAAUUCUUACGGAGUUUGUGUCGACUCGGAAGUCUAGAAAGACAAUCCAGGAUGAUGAAGGUAGUGAGGGCAAGUGCUCUGCUAGGAGUGAUGAUGCAGAAUACACACACCCAUUUGACACGGACUCUGUUGAUGAUGAUCUUGAUGAAGGAGAACUAGAAGAUGACAAAGAGGACUCCAGUAUUAGGAAGUCAUUCAGUUAUGGCACAUUGGCAUCUGCUAACCAUGUUGGGAGUUCAUUGUACCUUGACAUGAGGACAGAUGGAGAAUAUGAAGACUGGGUCUACUACAGUCAUCGAAGAUCUGAUGUGGGUUAUUCACAUGCAGAGGAGCUGACAUCAUCUGUCCCUGAACAAUCUAUGUUGCAGGCUUCAAAUUGGAGUAUUCUCCCAUGGAAAAAGAGGAAGCUAAGUUUUAGAUCUCCCAAGGCCAAAGGGGAACCCUUGUUAAAGAAAACAUAUGGAGAAGAGGGAGGGGAUGACAUUGACUAUGACCGUCGGCUGCUGAGCUCCUCUGAUGAAUCUCUUUCUGAAGGGGUAUGCUUUCCUUGCUGCCAUAUAUAUUUUUUUUAUUGCCUUUCGUCAUAAUCUAUCUACAUGAUGAUGGAAGAAGGAUGUGCUUAUCUGAACUUCAUAUCAUUCUUCGAUCUCAGAUUUGAUGUGCUCUCUCUCUUCUUUUUUUUGAUAUUAGUAUGUUAAAACAUGGCCUCUUAGAUUGGAUUUAGGUAUUGAGAGGGUUGUUGAAUAUGCAUUCAUAUUUAUUGUUGUCUGGAUUCUACCCGAUUUAUUUGUUGUCUCAUUCAUCUAUAUACAGGAAGUAGUGAGGAGGAAUCUUAAAUAUCUUGGUUGAUUUUGUUUGCAGAGGCAAAAAGUGGACGAAUAUGGUGUUAUGAGCUCAUCAGUUUCUGAUUUUGGUGAUGACAAUUUUGUGGUUGGUAGCUGGGAGUCAAAGGGCCUAGUGAGCCGUGAUGGUCACAUGAAGCUUUCCACCCAGGUCUUCUUUGCGUCUAUCGACCAGAGGAGUGAGCAAGCUUCUGGUGAGAGUGCAUGCACAGCUCUAGUUGCUGUAAUUGCUGAUUGGUUUCAAACCUACCAGGAUACAAUGCCUAUCAGGUCUCAGUUUGACAGCCUCAUUCGAGAAGGUUCUAGCGAGUGGAGGAACCUCUGUGAGAACCAGACAUACCGGGAGUGCUUCCCUGACAAGCAUUUUGAUCUUGAAACAGUUAUUCAGGCAAAGAUCCGCCCGCUUUCUGUUGUUCCAAGGAAGUCUUUCAUCGGGUUCUUUCAUCCUGAAGGCAAUGAUGAUACCAGUGGCUUUGAUUUCCUGCACGGGGCCAUGUCUUUUGACAGCAUCUGGGACGAGAUCAGCCAAGCUGGGUCAAAUUUUCCCACUGUCGGUGGCCCUCAUCUCUACAUAGUGAGCUGGAACGAUCACUUUUUUGUUCUAAAAGUUGAACAUGAUGCCUAUUACAUAAUAGACACACUUGGUGAGAGGCUCUAUGAAGGGUGUGACCAGGCUUACAUCCUGAAAUUUGAUGGAAGCACAACAAUUCGCAAAAUUCCUGGUGAGAAGAAGACUGCUAACGGUGAGACCACAGGAGCUGGUAAUGGUGGUGUGGAUGGUUCAACAGGAGAGCAGCAGAGUGUAAAUGGUGCUUCAGAGGGGGAGCUUGUCUGCAAGGGGAAGGAGUCCUGUAAGGAGUACAUCAAGAGCUUCUUAGCUGCAAUUCCAAUUAGGGAACUGCAGGCUGAUAUUAAGAAGGGGCUGAUGUCUUCGACACCUCUCCAUCAUCGACUCCAGAUUGAGUUCCACUACACGGAGCCAUCCAAGGAGGUGAGUACAGCAGCAUUGCCACUAGCAGCAGCAGAGGCAGUUCCUGAGUUUUCAUGGCCAUUGGAGCUGGUAGCAGCAUUUAACAUAACACCUGAAGUUGUAAUUGUAUAGAGAAUGGAUAGUGAGUGCUUGGAGGAGGGCUGGCUGUCCUUUGUUUAACUUGGAUUAAAGUCACAUAGCAGGUAGCUGCUUUAUUUGAGAUGGGUGGGUUAAAGCGAGAGAGCCCAUCAAAGAGGGGUCCUAUCUUUUCUAUUUUUCUUUUUCUUGAAUUGUUUUUAGCUGAUUCUGUGCUCUUGUUAAAUUGUCUAACCCUAGUGUCCGACAAACUGUAGUGGUGUGUUAGUAUCCUUUGUUAAUGGACGGACUCAAUGUUUACGACUUGUACAAGCUGUUGUUUCUUAAAGUUUCUUUACUGAUACUGUUUGGAACCUAGGGAAUCAUUCAGAUCUUGGAGUUAUGAAUAGGCCCAUAACAACUGGAAGAUAUAGAGCUUCUAAUGGUUUUGUUAUCUUAAUGCCCAUCUACAAAAAGCUAAAUGCUUGUCAUGAGGCCCGGUUUAUUUACUAGAGGUGCUCUCUGUUCUACGGAUUUCAACAGGCAAAUUCCCCCAACUAUAUGUCAAAGAAGCAGCUGUAGAUUACACAUUUAUAUGUGAUUUUCUUUUUUGUUGAUACAAGAGAAAACUAGGUUUUUCUUGGAGUAGAAGCACCAACGCGGUCAGCACGCAUGGGACCCCUAAUAUCAUCCUGUAGUUAUCAUCCCAUCACAAAGUUCUGGUUCAUAGCAGUGGCUGUUCAAACAAUCCAUAUGUGAAGCUUUGAGAUCAGAGAGGAAGAAAUCUGUAAUAUGUCAUGAAGAAUAGGAUGAUAAGGAGUUCAAAUCAGAAAGAGACGAAGAAAGCUGCCAUAUCUCAUGAAGGAUGGGAUGAUAAAGCAAUGGCCCCUACUACCUACUAUUCUGUUCGGAAGCAAUCCAUGAUAUCCUUCAAGCCAAACAUUUGGACACUGAAACUCCAUAAUAGUAGCCUUGAUAUUGAGCCGUGCACCCCUUAGUUCUGCCACAGGUACAGUAAAAGAAUGACAAGGCUGGAUGCGAUGGCGGCUAUUCAGCAGUUUUUCAGUUUGGCGGUGAUGUCCUCAGAUUGGAAGAGAAUCUUUGUUGCUCUAAUUCCGAAGCGGCAGGAUGCCUCGGAGCCGGAACACUUUUGGCCGAUCAGCCUUUGCACCACAUUGUAUAAGGCUACGGCCAAGAUCAUGGUAGUCAGAUUGAAACAGAUCCUCCUAAGACUUAUCAGCCCAGAGCAAGGAGCGUUUGUAGGCGGACAAAACAUUUCUGAUAAUGUCCUCAUUGCUUAGGAAUUCAUGUUUGAUCUCAGGAGAGCCCCGAGCAGGAGGAGCUUGACAAGAAUAAAGCGAGAUAUGGAGAGAGCCUACGACAGGAUGAGCUAGGAAUUUGUUUCUAUGCUCUACAGGGCUUUGGUUUCUGUGAGACAUGGAUCAAAUGGGUGCUAGGCUGUGUCAGGUCUCCUUCUUUCGCCAUUCUGGUGAAUGGCUCUCCUUCGAGUUUCUUUGAGUCCACUGGUGGGCUUCGACAAAGGUGCCCAUUGAGUCCAUUUCUCUUUAUUAUAUAUGCAGAUAUGCUGUCUAGAGCUCUCCAGCACACUGUAGACACACAGGCCUUGGAGGUAGACAGAUCAGUACAGGAGUCUCCCCCAAUCUCGCAUCUAUUCUUUACUGACGAUUGCCUAUUGUUGGCUCGUGCGACGAGGUAGGCCAUGCGGACUAUUAGGAGGAUCCUCUGGGAUUAUUGUGAUGCCACUAGGUAGCGGGUCAACCUGGCAAAGUCAGCUGUGUGCUUUAGUUCGAAGACCAAACCUCGAGAGAAGGCCUCCAUCAUGGAGAUCUUGAGGGUUGGUAAGCAGGAGGGGGUGUUGAGGUACCUAGAGGUCCCGAUCUUGGGUCACCGCAUCCACAGCAGGGAUUGUUCUUCCAUUGAGCUCAAUAUUAGACAGAGGCUAGAGGGGUGGCAGAUGUAUGCACUUUCCAUGAUGGGUAGGGUCAUCCUGGUGCGGUCAGUACUCUCCUCCAUUCUGAUUUACCUACUAUCGAACUCCAUACUUCCGAUGGCACCACUAAGGACUCUGGAGCAGAUACUCAGGAAGGGAGUGCCACCCUGAUAUCUUGGAAGGUUCUAUGUCAGCCGACUAGGACUGGCGAAUUGGGGGUGCCAUCUCUACUUGCGAUGAGGGAGGCCCUUGCGGCGAGACAUGUUGCUAGAUUUUUAUUUGAGCCGAACAGCAUAUGGUCCUCACUUUUGAGGCCAAGUAUAGGGCCCUUUCGGCGUCGAUGAGCUCCCAAGUUCGACGUCACAGUUCACCUAUUUGGAGGGAGAUGUGUGCCAGAGCUUCACUUGUGCUACCGGCAACCAGAUAGGCCAUUGGUGACGGUCGGUCCGUCGAUGUUCUUAAGGACAGUUGGGUGACAGAGAUGCUGAUUUGCCGACUACCGAUCAUGGUGGACAUGACCCAUUUAGCUAGGGUCAGUGAUCUGCUUGUUACUGAUGAGGAUAGAUGGAGAGAGGGGCUGGUCCGGGAGGCCUUUGGAGAGUACUUGGCGGAGCUGAUCUUGGCCAUCCCCGUUCCGCUCUGGGAGGAGUCUGGCAGACUGGUAUGGGUGCCGAUAGGGCGAUCUAGGGUGCGGACCAAAGACCUUCAUGCACUGUUCAGGAGGGAGCCAUCUCAGCAGAUUGAUGAAGGUUGGAUUUGGAGAAUGCGGAUUCACCCAAAGGUGGCAUUGUUCAUAUGUAAGAUGGCUUGGGGUUGCCUACCAACCAGAAGGAUGCUUGCGGGACGAGGUGUGCGGAUCACUCCACACUGUGAGAUGUGCCCGGACUCUGACGAGACCAGCUCCCAUGUCAUCCUCAGAUGCCCCAAGGUUGUACAGAUCUAGGAGUGAUCCACUACUCCUCUCCCUCAGGCAUUGGAGUCAGCAGAGGACCACUACACUAUUUGAGGGACUCCAUGAGGAGACCGGGCUCUGUUGAGAAGGGGAUCCGGAGGGCAUACCUGACCUAUCAUAUUUGGCUGGACAUGAAUGCCCGGAUCUUUGAGGGCAGUAGAUCAACGCCGAGGACGGUAGUGGACAGGGCGCUUCGUCAUGUAGCAGUGAUCAUCACGGCUACCACGUCGAGAUCCUCUGAGAUGGCCAGAGACAUCUACGAUACCCGUCACGCUGUCAUAGUGCCCAGGUUUGUCCUCUGUUUUUGGAUACCCCCACCGCUUGGUCAUCUCAAAGUCAAUUUCGAUGGCGGCAUGGCGGCGGACGGAGUGCAUGAAGGAGUGGGAUUUGUGAUUAGAGACCAUUAUGGCAGGUUGGUUGCGGCAGAAGGUCGACGCAUCCUCGACAUGACUGCUAUAGAGGUGGAGCUUCGAGCUACCUGCGAGGGCAUAUCCUAUGUGAGGAGAGUUCUAGGAGCUGAUAGGGUGUACCUCGAGGGUGACUCCUCUCUGGUGAUUGGAUGGAUACAGAGAGUCGACCGUUAUAGGGAUGGACAUCCGUUGAUUGGCGAGACUCGCAGACUGGUUAGAAAGAUAGAGUCAUUUCAGACAGCACACGUGUUUCGGGAGGCAAACAAAGCUGCAGAUUGGGUUGCCUCGUUUGUUGCUCCGCAUUCUGGAGAGUUCAUCUAGACUAGAGCUGUCGAUGUUCCUUUUUCCUUACACCACUUUCUUUCUUCUGACUUAGCCAGUUGUACCCAUUUGAGAGUUAUAUGAAAUGCCGUUUUUACCAAAAAAAAAAAAAAAUAGACAAGCAUAUCACAGUGGCUGGAUUUUGCCCGUGCGGUCCAUAAUUACAAACCCUGCCCCACCUUUGCCUUGCCUUGACCCCAUCCAAGUCGACCUUCAAGAAACCAUAUUGGGACGGAUACCGGAAAGUAAGAACGGUAAAUGGUAAGGUAGGGAAACGCAGGCACUCCAAGGAUCCCCAGAGAUAGGUGAUGAAGGUACGUUAGUGGAGGUAGACAAGUGUUUUUAACCCACCAGAUUCAAUAGGAGACUAAAAAGAUAGCUUCAAAUUUUGACAUGCUUAACCAUUCCAUGCCUCUUGUUCCAAUAGAAGGUGGUGGCAAGCGGGUUAGCAAAUUCACCUCAUACUGCUUGGUGGGGACAAUCAAGAAAGAUGUGAUAUGGUUUCCACAGUAGGAAAACACCUGAUGCAAUUUUCAGAGGUGUUAAGACCACGGCCAUCAAGAAGCUCAAACUCAAGAGGAGAUUUACUAGGAGGAGGAAGUAAGCCAUGGAUGUUGGAGCUGAUACCGAGAGUCCAUUACCAAUAGACCAAUGAAAGGAACCCACAAGCAUGCGUGCUACUUCACAUAUAGCCUUUCCAGCCCCGCGAGCAAUGAGCUGGUCGUCUAUGUAAAUCCUAAUCACGAGGGAAAUUAUAUUUAGCUGACACCGAGAUGAGAAAUUAUUAGUUGGUGCUAAUAAUAGUAUUUAGCUGAUACUAAUAAUUUCUCAACGCGUCGAGAAUUAGAACCAGGGCAAGCCCAAAGAAGCGAUGUAAUAUUUUGCUCGAUAGCAUCAAAAGCAGAGACUGGCACCCGAGCAUUGAUGAUAGAAAAUAUGGCUAAAUAACAACAGUUUUGAGAAGUGUCAGCCUACCUGCCAUGGAGAGGGCACGCCACUUCCAGGAGGCAAAGCCGCCUGUCGACAUGAUCAGUAAUUUUAUUGAAGUCUCUUUUAAGAUAUUUCCAGGUUCCUGGUGACAGUGGAAUUAACACCCAAACUUCUUGGUAGCAACCUCUCAAGCCACGUUAAGUAGGGAGAGAAGGUAACAGAGAAGUAGGUAGCAUCAACUGGCUGUGCUGAGAGAGUAUAGUACAUCUCCGCUGCCUCAAGAAGACUGCCACGCUGCUCUACGUUGCUCCAAGUCAGCUUUCCAGAGGAGGAGAUUGUCAUUAGAAUGAAGUAAAUGAGGCGGUGCAGCGACAUGGUGUUGUAGUUUUAAAUUUAUUAAAAGAUUUAAAUUUAAAAAGAUAAAUAAACCAGAUUAUUCUCUAAAUUUUAGAUGGUUUAAAUAUUUUAAAAUAUUUAUUUUGUCCUUCGGACAAUUCUUCCAGAAGAGCUACGAUUUUUCAGAAAAAAUAUUGGUUUCUAUAGGAAUACGUUGUUUUCGAAACAUCGCAUACCUAAAAAAUGUCGCACUAUAUCAAUCACCAGAUAGAGUCUAUAAAUGGCUCAGUCUCAAUCAAUAUUAAUACUUUUAUGCUUUCCGAGACGAGAUAGAGAAUUUUUCUCACUUUUUUUCUUUUUUCUUCCUCCCAGCUUCUUUCAAGUUUUUUCUUUUUUCAGUGCCUCAAUUCAUGCACUGGCCAUAUAUUAUUUGAGAUCGAUCUCGACACCAGAAAACCAUUUUGUUCGGGUGCAAUAAAUUUUGCUAGCAAUGGCUUGAACCUAUUCGCAAGAACCUUUGCAAUUACCUUGUAAGGAGUAGUACAGAGAUUGAUGGGUCCAAAAUACGCAAACUUUGAAGGGUUGUACAACUUAAGUAUGAGAGGAAUGAGAGUAGUUUUUCAGCCAGGAGGCAUAAAAUCUCUAGGAUCAAAGAAAUGAAAAUUGCUUAUGCGGAUAUAUAUCGUACUUAUUUAUUUGCCAAUAGGAGAUGAAAAACUUAAUAGAAAACCAUCAAGGUGGUAUUUGGGAUGAGGUGAUGACCGCAACAUCAACAAUGAUAUAGGUGGUGUUGAUGAAAUCACUGCAUUUGGUUGCAUCUUAGUGAUUCUAUGUGGUAGUUGAUCCCAAGUCACUUCUACUCCUAAAAUCACUACCCAACCCAGUGAUACUAAACCCGUCCUAGAGAAUAGGUUUCCAAGAUCAUUCCAAGAUAGUGAUGUUGGGCUGAAAUUUAGGGGCAGGAAGUAUAGUGUUUUGAAAGUGCUAAGCAAGAAAUAAACUAAUAGAAUAGUAAAAGGAGAAGUGAAAAAGGCAUAUGUAGAGAACAUAAAUUUUUAUAAAGGUUCAGAGCAACCUGGGCUCCUACAUCUACUCUCCAAGCCACUACUUGAUAAUUUCACUAUGUAAUGCUCACGAUUACACAUCUAGCGAACUUUUGGAUAUGGCCAAAAUCAUUACACACAGUUUCCUCCCCAAAACUCUCAAGCACACCAACUAACUUAUAGGCGUUAGCCAAGCCUACCCUUGAGAUCCUUCCCUAGAUUUCAAAAAAUACAACCCAGUAAAAGAAAAACAUCUACCAUAUGGUGAAACCACUCUAGAGGCCAGUUACAUCAAUAAAUAUCUCAAUAAAUACUUCCUUUGUCAAAGAGGAGUUGAGAUAUGCAAUAAAUGUAGUUUUCUUCUUAGCAUUUAGUGCUCUUGCGAGUAUUUUUGUGCUCUUGAAAUUUUCUCAUUGUUCUCCCUUGUUUUUAAAUUUCAUUUCCUUGUUGGUUUAACCUGUGAUAGCCAUUUGUAACCAUUGAAAGCCUCUAACUCCUCAUUAAAGCAACCAACGUGGAGUGCAGGUUGCCAUUUCUAGUUGUUACGAUGCUUUAUCUACCAGUGAGGAGGUGACUCUUUCCUAAGAGGGAUCUGCUUUUGACUAAGAAGGGUCUUUAGUUUAGAUCUUGAAUGGCUGUGGAUGACUCCUGAUAUCGGUAGUGUUCGCUCUUCAUGUUGAUCACUUUGCUUAGCCCCUAGGAAAAGACUCCUGGUGACUUCGAGGUGACUCCUGAUCCUUUGGUUGAAUGGCUCCUCCGUGCUUUAAGGUAACUCCUAAAAUAUUGAAGACGACUUCUUGCUUCCUAGAGAUAACUCCUAAGACAAGGUUGGUACUGGAGACAACUCGCAAUCUUUUGGAGGUAGCUCCUGUCCUUUAUCAGUCAGCUCUUCAAUAUAGGGAGGCGACUCCUGAUCAUUUGAAGACAACUCCUCGGUCGACUCUUAGGAAUAGGCGGCGGCUCCAGUUUUAUAGCUCUUUUCUUGGAAGGGGAUCCUCAAGCAUGUCGGUUGGCUCCUAAACUUCAGAGACGACUCCUCCUGCAGCACUAUGGACUCCUGCAUUCUAGAGAUGACUCCUUUUGUGUUAGAGAUGACUCCUUGAUGUAGUACUUUUGUUCAAGCCCCAUGGAGGUGGCUCCUAAGAUAUCGAAGAUGACUGCCUCUUUGAUCUCUUAGUUCCCUUGCUUCGGAAGAUGAGUCCUGCCAAUGCAAAGAUGACUCCUAUCUUGAUAGUUCAGCAUUCAGAUCAGGGUCGCUCUUUUUGAGUUGGAGUUGGUUUUUGUCCUCCUAAGCUCUGCUUCCCAAUUAAGGGGUUGACGACUCCAGCAGAGGAGACGGUUCCUCAUAUAUGUCGACUUGCAACUCAUCUCAUUUCUUUUCCAAGGCAAAGUUAACCAAGUUAGUAACUCUCAAGUAUUUUAUUAUCAUCAAAAUUAACCCUAUGUGACUUAAUAAUCUUUCUUUUUGGAUGAUGGCAAAACUCUUGAGCAUAUGCAAUAAAAACAUGAAUUGUCUUGAAUAAAUUAGAUCUUGUUUUAACUGUAUCAGAGUUUAUUUUUGUUUCAAUUAUGAGAGCCUGUAUUGACAUGAACUAAAGUAAGUGAUUCAAAGCAUUAGAGCACAAAUGUAUGCAGUCCACCGAGAAAAAAUUUCUAAAAGUGCCGAUCUUUGGAGGAAAAAAAAAUCCUCUAACUGGGAUAGGUUUGAUAAUCUCAUUAAAAGAAUUCUUCUUGUUGAAAAAAAUUGAUAAUCUUCUAGAGUUCCUUUGAUAGAUUUGGAUAGAUUUUUGGUCUUGUCGAAUUGGUUUAAAAUGAAAGGUUUUGAUAAUUUGAUUUAUGUCCAUAUAUGUCUUCUUAUGAUUUACAUGGGUAGUUUUGGUACUAUAUGUGCCGUGAUCUUGCAUUGUAUGAUAUAUUACAUAGAUAAAUCACGAAACCCAGAGAGAGGAUCUUUAAUCACUGGAACAUAGCAAAUCAAAUGCAGUGAUCAUAGAUCAUUAGAGAUUAGAUUAUUCCUGAAUGAGGAUCGCCGAUGAUUUAAGAUCACCAUAGCGAUUCCUUGUGGGUCACCAAAUACCACCUACAGUGGACUCUAUCUCGAGCAUACAAGGCCAGGCAAGCCGAGCAUUUUCCUCAUCGGUGAUAGAAUAAUGAGCAGCUGCAGAAUUAGAGGGAGAGAAGUAUUCCAGCUAGCAUUAAAAUAGUUUUGAAACUGAUUCCAAAUGUCAGUAUCAGAGCAUAGAAUCUCACUAGAGUCUAAUCCUAAAGACAAGAUUUGGUUAGAUCGCCUUUCGUAGAAGGAUGCAUGUUUGGCAAGAAGAGAUUGGAGCAAGUCAUACAUAGAUCAGAAGGUGCAAGCCCACCAGAGAUAGCCUCAAGCUUUUGUAACUACUCAAUUUCCUUGCCAAACUCCUCUAUUUGGGUAAAAAUUAUGAAACAAGAAAAUCCAAUCCCCAAUAGAAUUGGCUUUAGAAAUGGCUCGAUCAAGCCAUUCCUGCACACAUGUAAGGCCCUCUGGGUUGUUGGUCUAUUGCACCAUCUGUAGGUUGGGCCAUCCAAGCCCAGAUCUACAAGUCCUGAAUAAACUUCUCUAAGUCCAACACUUGUUUUUUCUGAAUUUAAUAGUACUAUAUAAUUUACCUUCUAAUUAAUAUCUCGACGUAAAUUGUUCACACUGUUAUCUCAAUCAAGCUUUCAAUACAUUUAUUACUGGAAUUCAUUUGUUAAAACAAUUUAUUGAAUAAAUUUCUUAGUGUGGGUCUCUUUGAUGAUUCAGCUUGCAAAACUUUUGAUGUUAUAUUAUUGCAUGCCUACUCAACAGUUGAGGAAAUUUUGGAUGGGUUUAAGAUUCUGAUGUGACCCACAAGAUUGUUGGACGUUUAAUACUCGGGAUGGAACUUAAAUAGUACGAAAUGAGAGUUGAGGGCAUCAAAUAUAAAGAGAACUCCCCCUAGCGGUUAUAGAUGCAUGUAGAUGCAUGAUUGAAAAGAAAAACAGAUGCUUUAGAUUCCCCAAGUCUCCAGAGUUGACUAGUAAAAGAAUGGUAAAUAAUUUUAUUGGAGCAUUGCAGGGAAUCAGGACAAAAAGUUAAUUCAAAAUAUCAGCGAUCAGAUUCAAUCCAAGAGUUAAUAUCUUAUCAAGGCAUCGAAUUAAGAAUUAUUUGCACAUUUGAGAAUCUGAUAACACAGAAAUUAUUUGGGGGUACUGAUAUCUAGUAAAAGAUUUGAGUUUGGCAGACUACAGUAGCCUGGAGCAGAAACUUUUGAGGGGGUUAGAAAGGUGGAAGUGGAAAGCUCUCUCUAUGAUGGGUAGGAUUACAUUAAUUAAAUCUAUUCUCUCUGCUCUUCUAACUAUUUGAUGUUUCAUUGCAUUAUUCCUAAGAGUGUGCUUCUACAAUCAGAAGGUUAUAAUCAGGAAUUUCCUUUGGGGCUCCUCAGAUUCAUCUUGAAGAGUACAUCUAUUGUCUUGAGAUUGUAUUUACCAGCCAAUUGGAACAGGAGGAUUGGGUAUUACUUCUCUAGUUUUUCAGAGUGAAGCUAUGAUAGCCAAACAUGUGGUGAGAUUUAUGUUGACCCAGGAGGGGUUGUAGGUUUCUCUCAUACGAGCAAAAUAUGGAGUCCAUGUACCAAUUUACCAAUAUGGAGGAAGUUGUGUUCAUUUGCACCAUUGAUAUUAUCUAAUCUCGCAUAGAUUGUGAGUAAUGGGACAUCUAUGAAUGUAAUUCAGGAUCCAUGAAUUUCAAAUAUUCCUAUUGCAUUUUGGCCUAUGCUAGUGGAUACUAGCCCUUUACGUCAAGAACAAGUAAAAUUUGAUGUAGACUUACAUAUCAUCUCGCAAAAUAGUUCAUAUGGAAGCCUAAUUGCCAAGCAAUUCAAGCCCGAAAAUGGCUCUAAUUUUGCUGUUUAGAAGCCACCUUAGGAUGCACUCAAGGUAGCAUGUGGUGGGCCUGGUGGCAUGCAACCAUCUGGUUUCAUCUUCCUCUGCUACAUAAUCGAGACAUGCCAUGCUCAUGUCAUUUUUUUGCUUCACCUUUAAAGUUGGCCUGCAUUUGACUUACUAUGACUUCGGCGAAGCUGGAGAAUUUGAAAACUUUGGGCUUAUUCACGCCCUCAGCGAGUCAGUUUCAGGAAGUUUAUCAAGGAGUGGAUGGCUUAGUUGGUGGCGGGUUUUGAAUUUGCUAUGGCAUUAUUAUAGCACAUUAUAAUUUAUCAUUUUCUUCAUGUAAAUAAGUCUGAAGGCUGAAGUGUCGAGAGAGCUUGGAUUUUGCUUCGUUAUUUUACAUGUUCUAGAGAGGAUUUGAUUCAGGGGCCAUACACCAAGUGUGGUCGCGAAUGGCAAAAAAAAAGACUAAAAAUGAUCUAACUUUUUCAACCUCAAGUUCUUUGUUGGUUUGUUGUUUAACUUUGGUAAACGAAUCUGAACUUUUGAAGAUCUUGAGUUUGGUUCCAUAUUUAUAUUGUAGGUGAGAUCUUUAGGUUUAAAAAAGGAAAUGAUCCAAUGAACUUAUAUAGAGUACAACCACUAGUAGGAUGACUUCUUUUGUUUCAUAUCAAGCUUGCUAUGGGUCAGCCUUUUACCUUUGGUGAAUGGAUCUAAAGCUUUGAGAGAGCUUGGAUUUGGCUGCACAUUAAAGUUAUGGAUGCGAUUUCUAGGUACAUUAGAGUGGACUUUUAAAUUAAAAAAAAAAAAGCUCGAGGAUAUAAAGAGAUUGAUGCUUUAUACCAUAAAGCAAACUUACCAGAUAUCAAUGGGUCAAUUCAAAUACCAGAGAAAUUUUAAAGAAUAGGAAAGGAGGAGACUUUCACCCUGUUCUUUGAAGCAACUAAUGUUCAAAGCAAUAGAAUUCCUUGGAAAAAAUUACACACAAUGAUUUUAAUGAACACCAUGAAGUCUUAAGUAUUAUAUUGUCAUCCAGGGGACAUACUUUCUGUAAGAAAGUUCUAUAAUCUAAGCUAGUUAGCAAACUGGGAAGACUACAAACAUGUUCAAGCAGGCCAAAAUGUGCACUUAAGGCACCGAAAUCAUUAAUUGGGUGAACAUAAGUGAGAUACAAGCUCAACAACUCCCUUCAUGGAUGCGUCCUUCUGCAUAAAGAUGGAAAGGCAUAAAAGGUGAAGGGAAAUGAAGUGGAAGGAUAAAUUGCACUGUUGGUGAUAAAAAAUUGCAUUAUGCCUCGAAGUGGCUCACCAGAUAUACAACAUCAAAUGCUUCGCGAUGACUCUCAAGAGACUCUUCUAUAUUGUCAUUCCUGAAAAGGAAAAGGUCCAUAUCUCUCAUUAGAUCACACAGAGGCUGCUACCAUACUACCAUAAACUACCAAGCUAUCCAAAUAAUAUAAUAAAAUAGAUAGAUUCCUUGCCAUUCGUACAACUGGGAGUUUCCUUUCUCCUCUACAAAUUCUUCCCCAAGAAAAACAUAAAAACAGUUAGCUCUAUAAUUCCCCUACAAAGAUGGCCAAAACUCAAUGUAUUGUGGUACAGAGAACCAGCAAAUUACAUAAAGGAAAGCUGGAAAUGUGUUUUCAGAAGGCAAAUGGUCAUUUUUCAUUCCACACCAUCUAUCUCCUUUGCUCCUACACUAUGUCUAGCAUUUGGCAUUUCUAUGAAAGCUUGGUAUUCAGAAGUCAGAACAAAUCAUAGACGAGGCCACUCAGAUCCCUUAGCUACACGUUCCUCCUCCAUAUUCAAGUGAAAUCAGUCUUCUACCACCUGGCUCAAGGUUCACUUUUAUCUUUUAAUUAUGGCUUCACUUACGAUCAAUAUGAUUUUCAGAUAUGCCACUACAAAUGUUUCAAUAAGAAUAAGCAAUAAUAGAGAAUAGACAUGUCAAAUGGACAUGAUUUCCAGCUAUAGUAGAUGAACACAACUUCGAGAAUAUCAAAUUGAUGUCAUAUGACUUUGGAGUGAUCCAAUUAGAAAUUGAUGUAUCAUUUCAAAUACCACAAGACUUAAAAUUUCCCAUGAGGAUGCAUUGAAAUCUUAACAAUACACUAUAAGCCUUUGAAACUGCUAUAAGAGCUGUUUAUAGAUUUCACAAAAUUUAAAAAAAAAUUAGGGCUUGAAAAGUAACGAGUGUUUUCAAAGUUAAAAUACCUGGCAUGGAAAAAGGCUCAAGAAUUAAUUUCUUCUUCGAAAUCCAAAUGCAAGGAAUAAUUUAUUUCAAGGAUCCAUAUGAGUUUUUCAAAGUAGCUAAGUUUUAGGAUUUUAAGAAAUCAGAGGCCUAAAUUGACUUGCAGAUUUGUAGGAAUAUAAUUUAACUUAAAUUCAAAAUUAUUCUAGAGUUAGAACACGAGAAUUCAAAAAAUCUAAUAUACUUCAAUAUCCCUUUUCCACAUUCUUCUCAUCCUUCCUCCUCUUCCUUCUCAUUUUUUUCCUUUCCUCUCCUUAGUCCCUUGCCUCGAAAUAGGCAAGGUAGGGCGGGUAAAUAGGGCCCACUAGUUGACUCACCUACCUAGGGUAGUUCCCUUAGAAGGUCUGUUCCCAAGGUCACAAGAUAGGUCGGUUGGGGUAAGGAAGUGAAGGAGGUGAUGACAUAGCAAGUGAAAAUAUCAAUAAUGGCCUCACAGGUAGCACUUUUUACUAUUCAUGUAAGUAAAUGUCCUUGUUUCCAUUUUAUUUUCAUUUCUAUUUCCAUUCGCUUAAGACAUCACUACAUGUAAAUAGGAAGUACACCUAUCUGAGUUCAAUAGAAUUACUCAAAAAAUCAAAUUCCUUAAGAAUUAAAAGUUGGUUUCUCAGUUUUAGUUCAAACUACAAAUUUCUAGCAUCAAGUUAAAUUUUAACUUUAAAAAGCUAGGCUAUUAUUUAAAUCUGAAUAUUUCAAAAAUUCUAUUAUGAUAAAACAUUUUUAAAAUCCAAAAAUACAGUAGAAAAGGUCUUGCGAAUUAGUUCCUAAAGUACAUCACCUAUUUCAGUACUAUUCAGCACUUAGCGCAUUGUUACGAUGUUCAUAUUACAAUUUUUGAUAUCCAUACAUAUUUGUCUAAGUAAAAUGGGCUAUUAUAGAACUGGAACUAUAUUACCCAGUACCACAUUCACUAUAUUCUAUAGUUCUCUUAACCCUCUCUUCAACCCGGUCACCACUCCCCCCAUGGCUCACCUUCUCUCCUCUAGUGGCUCCAACACCCACCACCUUUACUUCCAAUGUCAAACUGCCGUCUUUGAGCCAACCACAACUUGCUUAUCUCUCCUUUGAUGUGGAGAUGCUAGAGACAUCAAGCCCCUCCCUAUCCACACCUUCAAGUCUGAUGCCAAGCACCCCAUAAUUCAUCCCAAUCCCAGAUUGCUGCCUUCAGCAACAAGAUCCCGUGCACCUUCCCACCAUUUGAUGUCGCUUUCCCUUUGUCCAAUAUCCAUCCUAGCUCACCAACAUUCCAUCCCUCCUCUCAAUCUCAAGACGAUCUGGCUUCUACCAGCAACCAUGGAGAUGGUGAUGGUGACAACCCAAAGAUUGAGAGAAAAGAGAAGGGCAUGUGAUUGAGAGAAUAAGGAUGGGAAUGGAUCACUUUUAUUCUGUUUUUCUCUCAUGCAGUGUUUAACCAGCAAGUCAAUUAGUCAUUUAACCUAGGCAGUUAGAACGGUUGAACUGCCCAAGUCACCGGUUUGGGCAGGUUUUGGGGAACUUUGGGUUUCAGCAUGACCCAUCCCGCAAUACUCAGCAGGUGGUGGGUUGAUCAGGCCAACCCAGACAGGUCAACAGGGUCUCAGAACACUGCACUAAACAACUGAUAACCAAACUUCAAAGUUGCAGGAGUUCUAUUAUUAAGCAACCUAUUCUUGCCACCAAGACAACAACAUAAGAAAGUGUGAUCUUUGAUAGAAUCACCAAAAUAUAAUUCAAAUUAUUCUUUGAUACAAUAGAACCUUGACUUCUUUGCAAGUACAUGUUUUAUUUUCAAGAUUGGACUAGAUUGCACACCAACAAAUUUUUGUGGAGAUUCAAGAGCACAAAUCAAGAAAUCACAAUCACCAAUACAAGUUAAGCUUCUUGAGGUCAUGAAGAUUUUAAAUACUGGUGGAACAGCGAGCAUCCCACCAUCCAGAGUGUCAGGACGAAAUGAGUUGGAAAAUGGGCAGGACAAGAUGAGAUAUCCGCCACCCCGAGUAUUGGACAUGAGGCAUCCACAUGGAGCAUCCCAUUCCACAGAAAAAAUAGGGCAGUCCCAUCCUACAGUAUUUAAGACCUUGCUUAUGAAAUCAAUGUAUCCAUUUUAUAAACUUGCAAUCAUCCAUGUUCUUUAACAAUAUUAGCCUCAAGAAGAUUGAACAGAAUUUUUGUAACUUUCACAAGAUGAAUCACAGAAAGCUGGUCUUGGAACUCAUUGAUAUUUGAUAAGACUUCACCAAGCUAUCAGCUACAUACUUAGAACACAUUCAUUAAAAAAAAUGAACUUUGAUAUGAUCCUGGCUUCUCAACAAGUAUGAUGAUGGAUAGCUCAAUAAAAAACAACCAAGUGAGUCUCCUAAAUAGGGAAUAUGUAUUGGUCGAUAUUUAAUUAUAGGGUAUUUUGAGUGUAUACCCUCCUAAAUAUACAAAUUGCAUAAAUACCCUUAUAAAAUUGCUAAUUGCAUGUAUACUCUCGUAAAACACUUGUUUUGCAUGUAUACUCUACUUUUUCUUUUUUGCAUAUCUACCCAUGUCAUCUAACACUGUCCAGACACUAGUGGUUUAAAAUUAAAAUGAUUGAAAUACCUUCAAUAGGUAGAUGUGCAGAAAGAAAAAUUUAUAAGGGUAUACAUGCAAACAGCAACUUUGCAAGAAUAUUCAUACAAUUUUGCAUAUUUAGGAGGAUACAACACUCAAAAAAAUAAUUUAAAAAUGAUCAAAACUCGGUUGAGACUUUUCAAGCAUUUCAUAACUCAGUUGAAUCGACAAGUCAAAAAAAAGAAAAAAUGGCCAAGUCACAUUCUUAAUUUUUCUUAGUUUAAGAUAUUAACUCGAUUAAGUUGAAAUAUUUGAUAACCAUUUUGAUAAUACUAUUCUCUUAUUUGAUUUUGAUGUAGUUAUUAUUAUUAACUCUCUGCCAUCUAUAUAUUCUUUAUUAUUUUUAAAAUAUUAAAAUAUAAUAAAUUUAAAUUAAUUGUAGAUAUUCAGAUUAGUUAAAUAUUUUUUAUCGAUUUAUAAAUGGUAAAUUGUUGUUCAUUUGUUGAGAUGAGAAUUUCACAAAGGUAUCGCAAUUUAUUCCAUAAGAUUUGAUGUCAAUAUAGGAUCAUGCGGCAUGAUAAUAUUGAUCUUUUUUUGUCACCCUCCUCAAUUAAGAGUGACCGAAUUAUCUUCUCUGCCAUUUGAGCAUGUGCCCAAAAGCCUAUUAGAUUAAUAUUGUGACUUCUUUAAUUGAAAAAUGUAUGCGGAUCUGGUCCUUGUAUUCCAAUUUCAAAUUAAAUUAAAUAAGUCACAGGAAUAAUCUAAAAGGCAUUGAGACACAUGUUCAAAUGGUAGAAAUCAAUUCCAGUGAAGAUAGUCCGGUUGCUCUUAAUUGAGGAGGGUGACUAAAAAAUAACAAUAUUAACAUGUCGCAUGAUCCGAGGUUGACAUCAAUUUUUAUAGAAUAAAUCUUGAUGCCUUUAUGGAAUUCUCACCUCAACAAACAAACAGUAGCUCACGAUUUAUAAAUUACUAAAAAAUAUUUUAUUGAUCUAAAGAUCUAUAAUUAAUUUAAAUUGAAUAUGUUUUAAUCUUCUUAAAAUAAUGAUUCAUAGACUCAAUAAUGAUAAUUACAUUAAAAUCAAAUGCGAGAAUAACAUUACCAAAAUGGAGAUUCAAUAUUCCAACUUGAACAAAGAAAUAUUUAUAAUGUGACCUAGCCAUUUUUUCUUCUUUUAAUUUGUUAAUUCAACCGAGUCAUGAAACACUUGGCAAAUUUCGGCCGAGUUUUGAUUAUUUUUUAACGGGUUUUUUUAGUGUAUUGCAUGAAUACGCUCGCAAGCUAUUUGCAUGUAUACCCUUAUAAAGUUUUCUUUUUGCACAUCUAACCAUUAAGAAUAUUUUAGUCAUUUUAAUUUUAAACUGCUCAUUUCUUAAUGGCAUUAGAUGGCAUGGGCACAUAUGGAAAAAAAAAAGAAAAAGAAGGGUGUACAUGCAAUAAGUAUUUUAUGAGGGUAUACAUGACCAUUAAGGAUAUUUCAGUCAUUUUAAUUUUAAACUGCUCAUUUCUUAAUGGUAUUAGAUAACAUGGGUGCAUAUGCAAAAAAAGAAAGAAAAAGAAGGGUAUACAUGCAAAAUAAGUAUUUUAUGAUGGCAUACAUGCGAAUAGCAACUUUGCAAGGGUAUUUAUGCAAUUUUGUACAUGUAGGAAGGUAUACGUGCAAAAAACCCUCAAUAAUAAAACCAUAGAAAUGAUAUAUAUUUGGAAUUCCCAGCAGUAACUGAGAUAUAAAAAAGAAAAAUCUUUUGUUUUUGUCCAGGAAGAUCAGCUUCAGUUUUCCACUUAAGGUGAGGGAUCACAACUAAUACUACUCCUUAGUUUUAGGGCCACGGAUAAAUUUGAAAUGUGUCAAAACAAAUUUUAGAUACAGAAGGAUCUAAAAUACUCUUCUUUAUAACUAGCAAAAACAUCAAGAAGCAAGAGUUAAAAGAAGUAGACAGGGUUGGAGUAAAAAAUAAAAAGAAGUAGAAAAAAAACAAGAAAUGAGGAAAAAAGUCUCAAAAUUAGCUAAAAAAUUCAAUAUAACCCAUAACCAAAUAUAAUUCGCCACUCCUGACAGGCCCCUAUUUAUAGACAUUUAAACUUAAACUAAUGUUUUCUAACCUUGAAAGGACUCCCAACUUACAAGUAACCUAGAACUUUGGCUUUGUUACUUGACUCCAAAUAGAAAUCCUAAACAACCCGAAACUCCACCACAAACUACCCAGAUUCUCAAGUGAAGAUAACUAAAAUCUUUUCAAAAAUAGUAAAAUUCUUACUCCUUUGGAAUCCUCCAUAGAAAGUGACACCACUAUAAAACACAAUAAAAUGUCACGAAAACCUUCUUUAAAAUUGAUUGGAGAAAAAAAUUAAUGAAGUACCUGUAUGAUUAUGUUUGUUCUCAAAAUAACAAAGGUGUAAGAUGCAACAUGAAAUGAUUCUUGCAUACAUUACAUCAGCACCAAUCAGUCAUCAGUAUAAAUGCAUUCCAAAUAUUGAAUGCCUGCUGUAUGUAAAAUCUUAAAUCCACAAUCACGAAGUCAAAAUCAAAGCAAUGUCAUUAAGCUCGCCAUGAGAAUGAAUGUAUCAUAUUUAAUCUUUAAGGGAUAAUAAUAUGUUGAUAUUUUUCAGGAUAUAUCUGGUAGCAAAAACUGAAGUAAUCUCUAAUGCCAUCUGUGCCAAACAAGAAAGAGCUGACCAGAGUGCCAACACAAAAUGUCGCCGAUCAAAUGGGAGGGUCCUAGCAGAAGAUGUCAUGGUAGUGAACCAUGGUAGUAAGCUAAGAAUAUCUAGAUGACAUGAAGUGAAGGAAAGUAUAGGUGCCAGAUUACAGGUUGUAAGCUGCAUGCACCUUGACAAAGAUUUUAGCACAGGUUGUCUCAAAUCUAUCCACCUUGAAAGCAAGAUAUCGUGUUUAGACAGAUCUAGACUAUAUGGCUCCAGAAUUUUCUUAAGCUGCAAUUUAUGCCCAUAUACCGAAUGAUGCAGUCUGUUUUGCAGCACCACAAAUAUCAAGCAGAAAUCUUUGUAAGUCAUUGUCAAGACUCAAGACGAUAACAAGGAUUCUAGGUUUGCCAAUGGUGUCAUGCCUCAAGUCUUACUCGAGCAAUUAGUAGUUUGACAGUCCAUGUCUAACAGAAAACUCAAUGAUUAUCUAUCUAGUUUAUCGUUUUCAACUGAUGCAAAAUUGACAGUCCAACUAGUUAUCAAGAAAAUUACAGAUCAGAGAACAGAGAUCAAAAUAAUCGUGCUGAACUGUUAAGCAUGACAUGCAAGCAUCCUUGUUUCAAUAACAAUAUAUCCCGUAAUAUUUUAAAGGGGGGAACACAUAAAGGAAAUUAUUUACUCACAGGAAUCCAACAGAAAUCCGGUUUUCAUAGUUCACACCCUCAGACAUGCCAAGAUCUCCAAUGUGAUCACCAAGCAACAGUACAUUGGUCCUGUUCUUUAACAAGAUGCUAUCGCUAUCCACUCCAUUAGGAUCUCCCAAUUUGUCAUGAAUAGGGGCAGCCAUAUCCAAGGCAUGCUCAUUUUUGUUUAAAACAUGAAUCGUCUUCCCUGUGAUCGGUAUUUUAAAGAGUAUAAAAAAACAGAUUAGAAUAUAAAUCAAUAAAAAGCACAGCAUAGGUGCCACUCCUCAGUGUCGAAAAGAAGUUAUGGUAGAAAAUAAAUAAGUUGCUACGCUUUGCGAACCCUACAGAAAGAACCAACAUAUGUUCAAAAAGGUCACAAAAUUCUCCACUUAGUAGCAGGAAUAUUCCAUUUAAGAUGCCACACCUGCUUCCGAAUCUCCUUGGAAACUCCUCCCCACACCCACUUCCCGAGCGCUUUCUUACUAAUUUUUUCCAAGAGACCCACUUGGGUGUACCUGACCUAGCACAAGAAUCUUGAAAUACUAAUAAGUUAUUGAUUUUUCUGUUUUUUUUUGUGUGUGAAAUAGGCUUUCUUGAUCAUAUCUCGUCUUAAUUUAAAAAAAAAAAUCAGUUUUUGGUAACUUUCAGAAGUAGUUUAAAUUGUUUUUUUAUACAUCUCCAAUAAUCUAAAAUUCUCCGCACUUAGUUAUAUUCUACCUAUUCAUCAAAGAUUUAUCAUGAUAGUUCUAAUAACUGACACUUUCUCGAAAUCCUUCUUUGUCAGAUUGCAUGUUUUCCCCUUGCAAAUAGUUUAACUAUGUAACCUUUAUUGAAACUGUAAAAUUGAGUUGCCAUAAGAAAUCGAUGAAGUAAACGCAUUCAAGUAUCUAUAAUUUGUCAAAACAAGUUCAAGAAAUGCAAACCCAGACAGUAAAUUUCUGCAUGCCAAAAACCUGAGGAUUGUAAAACUACUUGAAUUAAAAAGAGAUAUCAGAGAGCUCAAGAACACCUCUAAAGGCCAUAAGACGGCCAUUUUCAUCAAACACCAUUCUGUUAGAAACGAUCUUGAUGUUUUUAAAAGAUCUAUGAAGUUUCUGUCUGAAGACCUGGUUAGAUACAAGAAGAAAUAACUGACAAUCAUUUUCGUUUUCAAAAAUUUGAACCCAGUUUUAUGCAAAUAUAAUAAGAUCAGAAGGUUAUGAACUGACCUCUUCUAUAAUGUCUGCAAGACCUGCAGAAAAAAUUAAGAUAGGCACACCUUUCUCCUGCAUUUUAUUGAUAAAAGCACAUUAGAUUUUUUUUAAGAAAGAAUUAGCAUGAAUUAUUCUCCAUUUUACAAUUCAGAAAUUCUCUUCUUAUCUAAGCGAAAAUUUUUUGCAAGAAUAGGCUUUAGCAACAGAGCAUGGAAAAUUGUUGAAGAAAAAACAACAUAGCAUUAGGCAUUUAGGCAUAAGAUGGAUGAGAAUUGGUCAAUUUAUUAAAUUAGCCUAUGAAAUUUUAAUUAAUGUGAUACAAAUUCAGGACUCUCUUUUACUUGAAUCAAGAAAAGCUUACUUUUUGAGGAAAGUCACAGGAAUGAACAAUUGUCUGCAGUCUAUGCUGUAGGUUGAAAACAACAUGUAAUCUUAAUCACAUCAUGAUAGUGAAGGUGGAUGCCACGGAAAUAAUUUAAGUUUUGUUAGAGCAUAGAUUACCUCAAAAAUGGAUCUGAUCUUUGAAGUAGAAUGUUUCAUAGAAAAGUAGUAAUAAAAACUCAUUAAAAGAUGAAGAAACUCAGUUGAAUCAUGAUAGUAGCACGUGGACUCCAGGAUUUUGGAGAACUACAAAGGCAUGAGCGACAAUGUGGUCUCCAACACUUGACAAAAUUUGGGCUCAUGAAGCAGUAGGCUCUGUCAAAUCUGCACACAUAAUCUCCAAAAAAUUGCCUUCCAUUCAGCAAGGAAAGCAAAUAAACACAGGGCUAGGUACCUUCAAGACCUCUGCGCAAGUGAUGCACUCAACCUUAUCAUGGAUUUCAUGCAAGUUGUAACCAAUUAGAACAUUCUCUGGAAGGGUGUGACAGGGACACACUAGCUUAAAUAUUUAAUUAUUGGAUGGUUAAGUCUGAAAGUUUCCUAAUUAGUAAGAAUUUACUGGGAGAAACCCAAAUAAACAUGUGGAUCACAAUACAUGUAUCAUACCAGAACUGGAAAAACAAUGAAUACCAAAAUAUUUUGAAUCAUUUUCUUCAUAAGACAGAUAACCAUUUGGGCACCAUAUGAAUUGGUAUUCUAGAAUAUGGUAGCAAGUAUGAAGAUCUUUGGAAAAUAAUUUAAAUUCCAUUGUUUUGGCGGUGCCAUCUUCAGCUUCAACAGUCAAAACAAAGAAGAUCAGUUAAAACUAGGAAAAUAUUCAAAAAUAACAAAAACGGUAAACUAAUCAAAGAAAAUAAUAUUUAAAAAGAAUGUAAUGUUGUUUCGGACAUUUAGCUGUAUCAUUUUGUUCAGGCCGCAUUAGACAGUCAAAAAUUUAAUUCUUCUAAAAGAUUACUAUUAGAAAAUCAUCCUCAAAGUAUGAAUAUCAUUUUUAUAGUACAAUGAAACAUGCAACAACAUAGAUGCAUAGGAAAUUUGAAUUUUAGAAUAGCCAAAUCUAUGUGGAAAAUUAUUCUCUUAAUUUCUUUUGAGAUGUAAUGUUGCAGUCUUCUAUAUCUUCUCAAACCUGCAAAAUCAAUGCUUAAUCCAGAGAAAAUGCAUCCAGGAUUAAAAGAAAUGAAGAGAUGACAAAAAAAUGGCCUACAUAGUUCAUAUGUACAAUGAUGUUUCUAUAGGUUAUUUUUUGCUGAAAUGCCAAAGUUAGCCUGGUUUGAUAUCGGUUUUGGCCAAAGCUGAAGCAUUUGGGUUUCAGUUUGAGAGCUAUGGAUGACACUUCAAGGUGACAACCAGCUGCACCAAACCUGUUGACAUAACUGUAUACUUAAGCAAGGUUAAGUACCAGAUUCCGUACAGGUACCAACCCAUUAUAGUGUUGGUACGCGGUAUGCUAUGAGAUGGCGAAGCGUAUCAAGUGUCAGUAUGGUAUGAGACUGUGUACUGGUUAGGUAUCGGUAUAGUAUGGUACACUCAGUACUGCAAACCUUGGUUAAAAGUACUAAUAAGCUGCUUAACAAUUUAAAAUUGAUCUAGUGAUAUGAACUGAAAUUUAUUAUGCAUGCAAUUUUUUGUUAUAAAUUAGCUAUAAAUAUAUUAGAUACAUCAUGAAGUAGUUAGAUUGUGUUUUUAUAAUUCAAACAUUCCAUAACCAUAAUAUAAUAUGCUAAAAACAAUUGGAGUAUUCUUUCUUCCUAGCAUCAACCAAGUAUAUUUUCUCAUGGUUAACAACCCAUUCAAUAGCCAGUUUGGUGAAGAAAGAUCACCCCCACCAAAAAAAAGAAAAGAAAAGAAAAACAGCUCCGUUGCUUGGUGGCGGACAGUCUUUUUCUCCUUUAGGCUCCUCAGUAAUCAAAUAUAACAUCUUCGUCCCAUCCUAACUUUUAAAGUUUGAAUCACUAAUCAUAUACUAUACAACAAGGCUUCAGUUAUAAGGAUGAAAGAUUUAACAACGGAAAAGAAUUUGAUGACCAUUUAACCCAGGGCUGUCAAACAAACUGAGCAAGCCAAGCUUGCCACGAGCUCAACUUCAGAAAAACUCAAAUCCAGCUCAGUUCAGAGCUAAAAAAUGAAGCUUGAACCAGCAAAACAGGCUUGAAAUUAGCUUGAAAUUAAUUUCAAGCCAAGCCAAAAAUCUACCCGCUCCAAUCAGGCUAAUUAAGAACCAAAUAUUUUUGUAUUUUAUAUGUACACAUACAUAGAUUCAUACAUACAUAUGUAUUUGUAUUAAAGCUUUAACUAGUGUACUUUUUUAUUCUUUGAAACAAAAAAAAUUAUUCAGGCUUGAACCAAGCAUGCUUCAAGCUUGAAUUGAUUUCAGCUCUAUUUAGGAUUAUCAAGCAGGCUAAUUAGGCUCAUAUUCAGCUUGGCUGGAAAUUAAGCCAAAUUGAGGUUGAAAUUAAUUUCAAAGCAAGCUUGCUCAGACCUAAGAUCGGCUCAGUUACUUCCCUAAUUUAAACAUUUUUGAUAAUCGUACUUGUUACAUACUGAUCCUUAAGGUAUAGGAGGGGUUUAAAAGAUCACAUAAGAGAAGCUAUGAAUGUCGGUCUUAAAGUUAACAUGGUUACAAAUUUAUUACAUUUAAGGCAAAGUUGACACGAGUAUUCUUGCACGACUCUUUAGGAUUACCUUGAAAAGUCAUACUCAUCAUGAUCAGAGCAAGGAAAAUUCUUUAUAAUGGGAGGUUUAUAAUCACCCAUGUGAUUUAAGUAAUUCUGAUACAAGUGAAUGUGAUGCUAUUUUCAUAUGGCCCCUAGUAAUCCAUGUCCGUGGCCUAUAACCUUUUUUAUGUUUUAAAUAAAUUAAUUAAAUUGAAAAUUCACAACCAACUGUUAUACAGAGAGGGAGAGCUAACAGUAAGUUUAGGGUAGCUAAGAGUUCUUAGCAGGUAGAGUUAAAGACAUCCUCAGGUUAAAAUAUCUUUGAUGAGAAUAAUGUGUCAGCAAAUCAGUCAAAAGGAGGUGAAGGAAACCAAAAUGGAUAAUAUUAUUAUUGUAUUAGACACCUGAUGGAGCUAACUCACAAAAAUCACCUUGAUAGUUGGUAUGAUAAAAGAGAUUUAAAUAGCCCUCUGUCAGACAGACAACAAAAUCCUGCUGAUUGCUAUGACAAAUACGGAAGUCCAAUACUAUAUGCUGUUAUCUUCAGUUUUGAGAACAAGGGAUGAUGCCAAAGCCUUAAAUGAACAAGUUCAUACAAAUGAUAAGUUAAAGUUUUAAAAGCUAGUACUGGGGUGCAUGCUGGUCACUCUGAUGACAAGAUACAUCCAUACCAUAUCAUGCUAUGAGAGCAUAUGUGCUGAGCUAUUCCAAAAAGAUAAAAAAGAAUUCCAAAAAUAAUCAAAAAAAUGUUAACAAAGGAUUAUAUUGGUGCCAUGCCAACUAGUGCUAAAUGUCAGUACUAGACUGGCACAGUACGUGCCAAGCAGCAAGGACUAGCAUGACUAAAAUAUAGAUUCUAGUCACAAAUGAUGAUGAAACAUAUAAGGUAAUGCAUAUCAAAGGAUUGAGGAAAUGGAAGAAAGAAAUCCACCCUAUGGGGAGCGGAGCAGGUUUAUCAAUUCGACCACAAGAACAACUUCAUAGCCAAUAUAUUCUAACUAGAUGCCAUAUCUAUCUCGCAUUCCACAAAUUCACUGACUAAUUAUAUGACUACUAUUAUGUACUUUUGCAUAGCCAUUGCAUUGAUUUGAUAUAAUUGUUCUGUUGGCACUUGCCAGGCCAUCAAGUUGGGCACAUGAAAAACCUUAGAACCAACUUUUUUGUAGUUUGUUAGUUUCACCAUAAGAGUCCUAAACUUCUAGGAGUAGUACAGAAGUUAGUCUAAUUAGUUGUCUAAUGAAAACACCCUGUUCAUGUUAGAUUUGAAGAUGUUGCUAAUUUAUGGGUACAUUUACAUAGUUAAAUGGUUAAAACUUAAAAGCAUAGAGAAGCAGUUCACAAAGUGCAAUCCAAUUUGCUUUCUUGUUUCAUAGACUGUUAAAAAAAAAAGGUUUUAUAAUGAAAAACUAUUAUUUUCCUAGCAAACAGAAAAAUCCAUUAUGUAUUAUUUUGGUUUAUGACUUAGUUCAUUCUCUUUACUGUCUCUUCUUUAUAUCUUUUUUGCAACACUGUUGGCGAGAGUCUAGGUCCAUCAAAAUCAGUUAUUAGGGAUUAUUUAGCUGCAAAUUUAUUUCAAAUUUUUAACAAAGGCACUGCACAAGGACUUCCAUCUACUUCAUUUUUUUUGGCAACAGCUUCCACAAAUUAUGUUUAAUAUAAGAUGCUUUGAUUAACUAAAACAGGAAAUCAAGAACUGGAUAUGCUCUUUUUGACCUUGCUUAUCAAUAUUUUGUUGAAGGAAACACUGAAUAAAGAUUGCAGAUGGGUGGAAAGGACUCUUAGUCAUUUAGUGUUAUCACUGUAUUUUCUUAGAAUGUGGUUUCCAGGUUAAAUCUACUAGAUGAAGUUAUAAUAUUCAGACCAUAAUAAAUGCUUUGACUUCAUUUCUACAAUAUUUAUUAAUAAGAUCCUCAGUUAUGACCAUUUUGCAAAGUCAAAGAUGGAGGUAGCAUCUGCUUCUUAUCAAUUCAAGGAAUUAAUAUCCCAUAAAUUCAUUCAUUACCAUAAUAUCAAAAAUUUCUCUAGUGUUUCCUCUCUCUAUUAAACUAACCAAAUUGAUCAUGCUUGAUAUUAAUCCUAAACAAUAGAGCCUGAUUUUUUUUCUCUUAAGAAGUACAAGAUCAUGACUGAUUACAUGCUAAACUUUUGGCUGGUAGAGAGCGAAAAUUUUCUGCAAUGUAAAAAAAGGUUGCAGAUACUUCCUAAGUGCACCGGAAUAAAUGUCCCUGGAUGAAACAAAACUAUGGCUCAUAAGCAUCUCGAAAUAUUCCUUAGGUCACACUAGGGAAUAACUUCUGAAUAGCUGUUGAUUGUUCUGUAAAGGAAUUAAAUUUCUACCUGUUCCAUGAUUUCUAUGUGAUGCAAAUUGUACCCAUUUCAUAAAGAGGGCCCCUCCAUAUUUAACCCUUCUCCUACCAAGACACCUACUAGCAAACUUAAUUUUAGUUUCAAACACCAACUACAGAAACUAGCACCGCUAAAGUUUUACUGAACAUGGCAGCAGAUGUGUCCAAAUAUAUAAGUACCCAGAUUAUAAACAAAAAAAAACUACCUCCAAGAACUCAAACAGCUCAGUGACACCAUCUCUAAAAGCAAUUCUAGCUCCAGCUACAGAUUUCUCUAUUGCAUCAUAGGUAAGACCCCCCUCAAUAAGAAGACCAUGUGUCUUCUCCCACCUGCAGUGAAGAAAACAGCAUACUCACUAAGGACAAGAAAUUUAGGUGCUUAAGCAUAUAUUUCACUUGGAAAUAGCAUUUAACUGAGAGUCAAAGGAGAAAAUGACAUGAUUCGCUUACAUACGUAGGAUCUUAGGAAAAAAACCAAAUACGCAAUAAUUUAUAGAGAAUAUUGAGCAAACUUUCUAAUGCCUUCAGAAGCUUAAAGAGUCAAGCUAUGCACACAGGAAAUAAGUUAAUUUUUGUAAUGGUACUACAAAAACAUAACAACAAUCAAAUAUCAAAAGAAAUAAUUGUUACUUAUAUUGGACUGAGAUCACAAUAUCUGUAAGAUGGUAAAAGUAAUCAUGGCAACAAACUUCAGUAAAUGUGAUUUUUAUAAGUACAAGACUGAGAAAAGAAUGAGUCCUACAUUUGUGUGACUAGGUUCCGACUCAGUCGGGACAGGUUGAAGCUUUAAGAAGAACCAUUUCAUGAUGUUUAGUUCAUAAUUUGACUGGGACUGAAUUACCAAAUCAAAGGCAUACCAUGAACUCCUUUUUCAUGGACAAGGAAAGAGGAAAAGGUAUUCUGUAAUUCAUUCAUGAAGAGAAGAUUAAUGAAGAUGGAAGUAGGAGAGUGGAAAAAACACAGUAAUAGGAUAGAAAGUUUGUAGGUAUCAAAUAAGAUUUCUGAGGAAGUGGGAAAGCAAAAAAUGUCAAUUAUGGUAGAAAUAUGUUUUAAGAGAAAGAAAAGCAGGGGAUUGUUAAAUAGGAUGGAGAUAUUAUGGGUACAGACUACAGAGUAUCUGUAUACUGACCAAAAUAUGCUCUAAAGAAGAUAUCAAUGAUGUUACUUAGAUAAGAUUUAAACACAAGAAUUUCCAUUUAAAUAAAUAAGAACCUAUUUGAUUUAUGUCACCUACCAGUUACAGCCAAUCGAGUUUUUUAACCCCAUCUAACCCAUCCAUCGACCUUCAGUGAAAAUCAUCCACCCAACUGCUUAUUCUCCUACAUUCUCCUGAUCCAAUGCUAGAACACAUUAAACAUAACUAUCAUAUACAUCCUACUGCUACAUGGAAUUACACCCAUUCCAGCAAUCAAAUGGGCUCUCUCUCUCUCUCUCUCCGUGUGCAUGUGUACAUUCGUGCAUACAUAUAGACAUGCACACAUGUAUAUGCAUAAAUGCAUGCAUAGAUAACAGCAUGUUAUUUCUUAUGGCUGUUACAUAGAAGAGCUACCAAUGCAGUUGAGGUUACUUGAUCAGGUGUGGGAAGCCAUGUGUUCACCAGACUUUUGUUGAAAUUAAAUCUAGUGCCUUGUGAAGCCACUAUAUCCAAAGCCAGUUAAACUUAACAUGCUCCCCUCUUUACCUCUCCUUCCUUUUGUCUUUUUUCUUCAACCAAAAAGAAUCCUAUCUGGUUUACUUUUUCCCCUAAUUCUUCGGCAUACACUAUCUCCUAUUCCUUCCACUUUCGCACCUUUUUUACAUAGAUAAAUUGUGAGAUUCAACUUUAUUUGGGAAAAUAUACUAGGUUGUCAAGGUGUAAUGGUUGAAGGGCUCAGUGCGAAACCAAAAGCACUAAUCAGUUCAGGACAAAGGAGAUAACAAAAAAAGGUUAUGAUUGCAACAAAUCGUCUAAGGUGCAUCUUCUUUUUCAAAAAAUACUGCUUCAGCCUUAAGCAUAUCAAGUGGUAAAAACUAGCAUGACUUCUCAUAGAUGAAUGGACAUUCACGUUUUAACACGAAAAGUAUCUCCUUAUAUGAAUACAACUGACUAGCAAAGAACAUGAGUCAAAAAAAUUAUGCAUUACAUACACUACUAAAAUUUUUAAAAAAGAAACAUGGAGAACACCAGUUGUUGUCGAUAAUUUCCUUAGCUAUCACAACAGGCAGCCAAUCUAGUCACAUAGCAUUCUUCUACUUUCUCCAGUAACAGUAUAUAUUAACUUUCUGCAGUUUCAAUUAAAGAAAAGGGAAGGAGUCUGGCAGCCAAACAGGAGAAAGAACAGAAAGAGAUAUCACAAAAUAUAGAGAGAGUUUGAUCUCUUUGGCUUGCAGCAAACAAAAAGAAAAGCUGAUAGGAAUCACCACCUUACUAAAAAUUGAAAUUGUUACUAAUGAGUCUGCACAAGACCACAACCACCACAACUAAAUCCAAGUCCAUCUAUACAAUAAUUAAACAUCAUACAUUAAAAGAAGAAAUAACAUUUUUACAACACUGUGUAACGACUAUAGCUACAGCAUCUAAAAACACAGUUUUAUAACUGUCCCAUUUUCCUCAUAAUCCAGCAACCAAACAAAUCAAAAGGUAAUUGAAGGGUCUAUGAACUUUCAGGAAGAAAUUCUUAUAAUAGAUCAAACUAAAUAUUGCAUUAUUCUAUAUAAAAGUUUACAGCCUUUACACACUAAUAAUAAGCAUGCAGAACUUGCUGAGAGGCCAACAGUUGAUACUGUCCGAAUACAAAUUUACUUGUUGCUUCAAGCCCACAGUAUCAAAGUCCUGCAAACCAAUUGUUUUUGAAUUAUAAAUUUGGUUAAAUGGCAGGAGAGGAUAUUCUUUUGAUAAUAUUAUGUAAAGCUCAAAAUAUGGUGAUCUUUACUGCGCAAGAAGCAUCAGUCAUGAGACCAAAAGAAAAAAAUAAGGUGCAUCAGUUAUGUCACCUCACAUCAGAACUUUUUAUAUGCAUAACAGUUAUCUACAUUUACCCUAUAAUAUUGGUCUGAACAUGAAACAAAACUGGGCCAUUCUGGAUUUAGCCAGAAGAAAUAGGCAUACUCCAGACUUGAUCCUGGACCAAUUUGAACAUGACCACAAAUCUGAUAAUGUACAUGCAUUCUCUCCACUUGACCUCAGUUUGUAUGAGCCUUUUUGCACCUCACAUUGUUCCUUCUCUCCAUUUCAAUCUAGUUUUUGUGAGAGAGUUUUGGGCCUUGAUUAUGAAAAGGCACACAACUAAUCUUAGGUUGGCCAAUCAAAAGAGUGUGGAGAGGAAGGGUGGAGGCAGGGGUAGGAGAGGGGGGAUGGAGGGGGGGUGAUGCGGGACAGGUGGUUUAGGGAAAAAAAAUAAGAAGGGAAAGGAGGAAGAGGGCUUCUGGAGUCUACCAAUUGAUGCGGGACAAGUGAUUUAGGAAAAAAAAUAAGAAGGGAAAGGAGGAAGAGGGGUUCUGGAGUCCACCAGAUGCCAAAGACAAGUCUUUUUCAUUAAAAAUACUCUACCCACAACAGAAUACAUGGGGGUUCCAUAUAUAGCCNNNNNNNNNNNNNNNNNNNNUACAUGGGGGUUCCAUAUAUAGCCCCCUAAGCAACUACCCAUGAUCCCCACAAAUGAUCAUGUAACUACCCAUGAUCCAACAACAUCAUGGUUCACUACAAUAGCUAAAUACAGUCAUAACAAGCCAACAACUAACAAAAGACGAAAAUACAUAAUAAAUAAUGAAAAUACACAAGAAAAUAAAACUAGGGCAGCCAAAGUGCUAUGCACGCCGGCGACGCCUAUACACAUGCUGGAAACGGUGGUCUGUGUCCCCACCAACUCCCCUCGGCUGAGAAGAGUUCGCCUCUGGCGAAACGGAUGUCUGGUAAUGCUCCAACAGGUCUGAAGCAAGUCGUUGAAGCUCAUCUCUGCUGAUCCAGGUAUUAUCUGAUCGAGGUCGACCAUGCCAUCUGACCAGAUAUCGCUGAUAACCACCGUUCUGCGUACUAACAAUCUGAUCGUCCAAAAUCUGUUCCACUAUGUCUGUGAUCUGCGGAGAAAAAGGUACAGGAGGCAAGGCAGGAGCAGGAGAUAUAUUCUCAAAAUUGGAUGUGGGGUCAGUGUCAGGCUCAUUGAAUAGAUCUGCAGGAAUAGUUGUCGGACCUCGGUAGGCAACUAAGUCUUCUACAUUAAAAACUGGAUUAAUCCCAAAAUCACUUGGAAUAUCCACCACAUAUGUAUUAGGUCCAACCCGUUUCAGAAUUUUGUAUGGACCCAUACUUCGGGCGUGCAAUUUCCUAACGGCUCCUGGUGGAAACCGUUCAGGUCUGAUUCUGAUCAUUACAUCAUCACCCACUCGAAAUUCUUGAUAACGUUGACGUAAGUCAACAGCCAUUUUAUAUCUCGCAUUAUUGUUUUCAAUUUUCUUAUUAAUCUCUUUAUGUAAAUUUUGCAUGUAUUGCGCAAAAGACUCAGCGGUCUUAGAGAUUCGAUUGUUAGGUGCUACUGGGAUAAGAUCAACAGGUUUUCGCGGAACAUAGCCUAAGACAAUUUCGAAAGGGCUCAAACCAGAGGUCCUAUUCACAGAACUAUUGUGGGCAAAUUCAGUUGUGGAUAGGAGAAGAUCCCAAUUACCCGAGUGGUCACCCACUAAACAUCGUAGAAGGUUUCCUAGACUGCGGUUGACCACCUCAGUUUGUUCAUCUGUCUGAGGGUGAUAGGUUGUAAAAUAUUUAAGCUUUGUACCCAUAAAAUUUCAGAGGGUCUUCCAAAAAUAACUAACAAAUUUGACAUCUCUAUCAGUCACUAUCGAUUUUGGAAGCCCAUGGAGCCUAACGACCUCAUCAAAGAUGAUCCUCGCAACUUUGGAGGCAUCAGAAGUCUUGGAAGUGGGCAGAAAAUGUGCCAUCUUAGAGAACCGAUCCACUACCACGAGAAUGGAAUCAUGCUUACUUCUAGUCUUUGGCAGCCCUAGCACGAAUCCAUACUAAUGUCCUGCCAAGGACGGUCUGGGACAGGAAGGGGGGUAUAUAAGCCAGUGUUUUGUUUGCGUUGUUUGGAUAAGUGACAAGUACGACACUGACUAACAAUUUUCGCGACAUCCCAUUUUAAACUAGGCCAAUAAAAUUUUUGUUCGACCAUAUCAAUGGUCUUAUUUCUACCAAAAUGGCCAGCUAUUCCUCCCGCAUGGAGUUCCCAAACAAGAAAAUCUCUAAAGGAUGUUUGAGGGAUACACAGCUUGUUUCCUCGGAACAGGAAAGCUUCAACCACAAGGUAGUCACUAUUGUCCCUGGUGUGACCUUCUAACACACUAGCAUAGAUCUCAGCGAAGUCUGGACAAGUUGCAUAAUCAGCAAUCAUACGAUCAAAUCCAGUAACCUUUAUGCUGACUAACAAGAGUAAUGCUACACGUCGGCUUAAGGCAUCAGCUGCCCUGUUGUCAAUUCCCGCUUUAUGACAUAACACGAAGGUGUAUUCUUGAAGAAAUUCAGCCCACUUUCCAUGUCGUGAACUCAAUCGUUUCUGGAAAUUCAAGUACCUCAAAGUUUCAUGAUCGGAAUAUAAUACGAACUCUUGAGGUAACAAAUAAUGACGCCAGUGACGCAGCGCUUGGACAACUGCGUAAAAUUCUUUGUCAUUGGUGGAAUAUUUCGUUUGGCAUCAUUUAGCUUCUCACUGAAGUAUGCGAUAGGAUAUUUUUCUUGGCUUAAGACACCACCUAUACCUAUACCAGAUGCAUCACAAGAGAUUUCAAAAACUUUAGUGAAAUCGGGGGAGGCGCAUUACUGGGGCUUCUGUCAUUCUAGUCUUGAUCUUACGGAAUGCCUUUGAAGCCGCAACGGUCCAAUGAAAUUCACCUUUCCGGAUACAAUCCGUAAUCGGGGCAGUGAUCCUACUAAAUUUUUGAUAAACCUCCUAUAAAAGGUGGCUAGGCCGUGGAAGCUUCGCACCUCAAAUAAUGUAGUAGGCUCGGGCCAUUCAAGAAUAGCUUGGACUUUCUGUGGGUCUGCUGAAACACCCUCAGAAGACACAACAAACCCUAAGAAGAUUACACGAUCAGUCAUAAAUGAACACUUCUUAAGGUUCGCAUAUAGGCUUUCUUUUCUUAGUGAAUUGCAGACCAAACAUAGGUGUUCAAGGUGUUGUUCCUUGUUUUUGCUAUAAAUUAAGAUAUCAUCAAAAUAGACUACAAGAAAUUUUUCCAUGAAAGGUCUUAGCACUUGGGUCAUAAUUCGCAUAAAUGUGCUAGGUGCAUUUGUCAACCCAAAAGGCAUGACUAGCCACUCGUAUAAUCCAUCCUUGGUUUUGAAAGCUGUUUUCCAUUCAUCACCAGGGAGGAUACGGAUUUGGUGGUAACCACUCUUAAGGUCAAUUUUGAAGAAGAUAGUGGCACCUGCCAUCAUGUCAAGCAUGUCAUCCAAUCGUGGCAUUGAAAAUCGAUAUUUAACCAUUAUCUUAUUGAUUGCCCUGCUAUCUACACACAUUCUUCAAGUGCCGUCUUUUUUGGGCGUUAGAAGUGCAGGCACUGCACGCGGGCUAAGACUCUCUCGGAUGAACCCCUUUUGGAGUAGUUCAUCAACUUGCCGUUUCAAUUCAGCGUGUUCAAUCGGAUUGAGUCUAUAAUGAGGCAAGUUCGGGAGAGUCGCCCCUGGGACCAAGUCUAUGGCGUGCUGAAUGUCACGCAUGGGGGGAAGUUCAUCAGGAAGAUCCUCAGAAAAGAGAUCCUUAAAUUCUUCUAGAACAUGAUGAACUUCCUUCGGAAAAUCUAUUUGAAAAUCAGGAACAACUUCUUUGGACACUAACACAAUGAAUAUGGAUUCUUGGGCUGCUGCCUUCUCAAAUUCCUUAGGACUAAUGAUAUGAAGGCGCUUUUCAACCUUCACAUCCUUCUUUCCAGCAAUAGAAGGCCGAGGAGGCAAAGGGUUUAGUCGAAUUUUCUUUUCUUGGUGAACAAACGAACAGGAAUUGGAUUUGCCAUAAAUGGUCACAUCCAAAUCAUAAAACCACGGUCUACCAAGAAUGAUGUGUCCAACGUCCAUGGAAAUAACAUCACACCAGACCUUAUCAUUAUAUUCAGAAAAGUUGAUUUGGACUAGACAAUGCUCAGUGACUGGUAUAGCGGUUUUAUCCACCCAAGAUACAUUAUAAGGGUUAAGAUGAGGCACUGUCUUUAACUGUAGCUUCUUGACAGUUCUUGUGGAUACAACAUUGACACUACUUCCACUGUCGAUGAUAACCUUGCAGCUAUGCUCGCCACAUUUGAUAUAAGUGUAAAAUAUGGAUCGACGCCUCCAGUCAUCAUCUUCUUGCUUAGGUUGUGUAAGGACACACCUAACUACGCCUAAAGGAGUGGAACCCUCAAGUGAGCCGUGUUCCUCACCUUCAUCUGACUCUUCAGGGUCUAUCUUUGGUUCAUAGACCAACUCAUCCUCUUCAUCAUUUCUAUCUUCUUCGAUGACCAGUGUUUUCUUAGUAGGACAUUGACUAGCUCUAUGCCCAAAACCAAAACAUCUGUAACACUGAUCUCGAGAAAUUUUGGGUGGUUCACUUAAAAUUCCCUUAUUCUUUUGAUCAUUAAUUUUUGGAGACUCUAUCGCUUGAUUUCUAAUAUUAGGCUUACUCCAAGUGUUAGUUUGACUAUCGUCGGUGAACUUAUGAUUGGCCUCCUUAAGAUCAAAUCGCCUAAAGGUUGUCUUAUUAGUAUAAGCAUGUUCUAAUGAAUUGACCUCGCGUAGAAUAAGCUCUUUUUGUAAGUCAUCUCGCAAUCCGGACCUAAACCUAGAAAGGGUCAAUUCCACACUCUCGCGUGCAUGGCAUCGCAUGAAGAAUUCAUCAAAGCGAGCGAUGUACUCAGACACAGGUUUGUUUCCUUGAAUCAGUCUUUGCCACUGAUCUAACAGGCGACUCUUAUAGGAUGUUGGGAGAUAUUUUUCUUUUAACUUCUCCUUCAUUUCAUCCCAUUGUACCACAGGGGGUUGCCUAGCUCUAGCAAGCAUAUUUUCUAUUGUGUUCCAAUGCAACUUUGCGGGACCAGUGAGCUUUAUUUUUGCAAAACGAACUCUGCGAUCUUCAGAUAGAUUAUACCAUUCAAAGUAAUGGUCCAUAUCAGCGAGCCAGUCAAUGAAGAUUUUUGGGUCGAGACGACCAUCAUAACUUGGUGCAUCGAUCUUAAUACUGUGCAUUACAUGCUCAUCUGGUGUCUCACGCGCUCUUAGAUAGUCCCUUUGGUGUUGUUGCCCAAGGCCUCUGGGGCGGGGCGGUUUAAACUCACCAAGUUCAGACGCUCCAUCGUUGUGAGUAACUUGGAGGUUGGUGAUUGAAUUUUCAGCCAAAGUCAAGCGGGUGUUCAGCCUAGUUUCAAGGUCAGUGAUCCUUGCCCCUAAUCUGGUUUCUAAUGCUGCUAUGGCAUCUAACACCUGUUGAUUUGGGUUAGUAGACAUCUCAUGUGAGUAAGAUGUACCGCUGCGAGUUGUCAUGCUCUAGAAUACAAAAAUUCCUAGAUAUAAAAAUAGCAUUCAGAUUAAAAUCAACAAUUUUGACUAAAAGGCUUAUGUCAGAGUCUUGGUGGCUCUCAAAUUUGCGUAAGUGAUAACUAAAUAUCAGGACCUUAGAUACUGCCAACCUUGGUCUGGGUCAUGCAAAAUUCUUCGCAGGGUAAUCUAAUAAAAGUGGGGUUCUUCAAAUCGAUUAAGGUUUCACCAGAUUCAAGUAAAAUUUCCUAGUUGCCUUUUGAGGAUUUGAAGAUAAUUUGUAAGGCUCAAUAUGUGUUUUCAAGGGGCACAGGCUCUUAUAAAGUUAAGGUCCUAUCUCAAACCGACAACAUGAAGUGAAAGCAAUAACAAUCUAAAGAUAAACUAGUUUAUAGGGAAAGGCUGAAAAAUUAUUUAAAGAAAAGAUACGACCUUUUUCUUACAGAUCUGAGUUAGUGGAAGAGUUUGGACGUCAAAGUGCAGGAUGCAGAACCGAAACCCGACGAUUUGUAGAAGAAGUUGCUGGAAGACGGCUGACUGCGGGUAUUGUUGUGGAAGCCCAACACGCUGCAGGGUCUAGAUCCAACUGUAGAAGCCUGAAAGCCUGGUCUGCGAGGCAAUGGGCCAAGGACUCACUUGAGCCCAAGUGAAAAUGGGCCAAUGGCUGAUAAGUCGGCCCACUCGCCCGAGCAGAAUACUAUAGAAAGGACCCGAAGCUUCUGGAGUGGCUUCGGAUCCCUUAGGGCAGUGGGAAAAAAACACUCUGAGGGAGGAGACACCGGGCGAGAGAAAGAGAAGACGAAGUCCGUUGAGGGAGGAGAUCUUCGUUUGGGGGUGAUGGAAGUGACGAAACGACGUGGGCGGAGGCGGCGACGGAAAUCGGGGGUGGCAGCACAGAGGAAGAAGGGGUCUCGGUGAGAUGAGAGGGAGAAGAAGAAAGGGGAUUAGGGUUUUUAGGGAUGAGGUAUGGGAGGGAGAAGAUCUCAGUGAGCUGGGAGGGAGAAGAACAGGGUGGACUCGAAGGUUGGUGGAGGGUGGAGGCAGCGGAGAAGAUGAAGGGGGAGGUGGCGGUGUGACCGAAACAGCGGUAAGAAAGAGGUGGCGGGGUGGGGUGAAGCUGCGACGCAGCGGCGCGGCGAGGACUGAAGCGGCACAGCGUGCAGAGGAGCUCGGCAGCGUUGUUCGUCGGCAAGGAGGCGGUGCUGCGGCUUGCCGGCGGCGGCUCUGCGAUGGAGUUCUCGGGGAAGAAAGGUACACAGUUUUUUUUUUUGACUAACUAGUGCAACUCACGUGCGAUGGAGCACGUGUGCCUCACGUGGGUUGGGGCACGUGCAACUCACGUGCUUUUUUUUCUUUUUUUCUCUUUUUUUCUCUUUUUUUUCUUUUUUUUUAGAGUGGAUCCGGGCUAAGAAACUGGGUAACAGGUGAGGGACUUACCCGUUAACCAGUGCUCCUUCAACCUCCCGACAGUUUCGGGAGGUGGUUCCGGACUCUGUGGCUACUGCUGCAGAGUGGAUCCCGUGGCCUGCAGUGGUGGACGGCGGCCGGCCUCCCGCUCCAAGCAACGUUUCUCUCCCCGGAUCUCUUCUCUGUGAGUGGGGUCUGCGGCUGCUACGGCGGAACUGAGAGACAGAGAUGAAAAAAAGGAGGCGAGGCUCCUUCCUUUUUUGGUCACACGAGUUAUGCGUGGUCCUUCAAGGCGCUCCGGCGUCCGUGGUGGUCGGGGUACAGCGUAAAUCUCGUGCGCCCACCUGAAUCCAGAAAUCCGGCGCUGCUCCGCCAUACGCAGGGUGAAACUUCUGUGGGAGUUUUCGGAAACAAGGAGAUAGCAAAGGGAUUUUUUUUUUGUAGUCUGUCCCACUGCAGCCAAGAAAAUGGUAGAGAAAGGGAAGGGGAGGGAAAUAGACAGACAGGAUCAGGGCGUUGGCAUAGAGGCAAAGCCCUUGUUUGCUCUGAUACCAAACUGAUGCGGGACAGAUGGUUUAGGAAAAAAAUAAGAAGGGAAAGGAGGAAGAGGGCUUCUGGAGUCUACCAAUUGAUGCGGGACAGGUGAUUUAGGAAAAAAAAUAAGAAGGGAAAGGAGGAAGAGGGGUUCUGGAGUCCACCAGAUGCCAAAGACAAGUCUUUUUCAUUAAAAAUACUCUACCCACAACAGAANNNNNNNNNNNNNNNNNNNNNNCCCCCUAAGCAACUACCCAUGAUCCCCACAAAUGAUCAUGUAACUACCCAUGAUCCAACAACAUCAUGGUUCACUACAAUAGCUAAAUACAGUCAUAACAAGCCAACAACUAACAAAAGACGAAAAUACAUAAUAAAUAAAUGAAAAUACACAAGAAAAUAAAACUAGGGCAGCCAAAAUGCUAUGCACACCGGCGACGCCUAUACACAUGCUGGAAACGGUGGUCUGUGUCCCCACCAAGGGGCUUUGGAGGGGUGUGCCCAUUUAUCUUAAUUUCUAAUAUUUUUUUAUCCACAGUCUACAUGGCCAGAAUUUGCUGAAGUCUCAGUAAUUUCCUGUUCCCUAUCUUGCAUGUAAUUUAUAACCAGCUGAUGAGACAAGCCUAGGCCUUACUGGGAUCACAAUGAAGCUCUUGGAUUAGAAGAUUCUGCCCUUCACAAAAGUUGAAGAUCACUCCUCAUGAUAUUUGACUGAGAAUUCAGAUUCACUUCAAGUAUUACUACAAGAAACAUAAGAAGUGUGCAGUAAAAAAUGAGUUUGGAAACUUGUAAGUUGCACAAACACAAGGCUUUUUAGGAUAUAUCUGUAGUGAAGACUGCACAUGGAAAGAAUGACAAGAUGGUUCUUGAUCAACAUCCAAGAAUGAGGGAAGAUGUACGUGAUGACAUGACGUCAUUCCAUAUACAAUGAAACCAAUUACUGGGCAUUAUGCUGAAAAACUGGGAAGCACCAUCCUGAAAUAUGACAGCUAUUCAUCCUUGAGUUAAUAUGAUCAACUUGAAAAUCAUAUAGACAACUACUGUUUGUGAGGCCCUUGCAUUGGAGUUCAAUGUUUGAUACUAUUGAGAAGCUUUGAGUGCUCCUGUGCUCAUGUUGCUUUUCACCUCAUAUGGAAAGACAGACACUGAUGUCUUUUGGCACUUUCAAGCCAUAUAGUGGACUCAAAGCAUCCAAACAGAUAGAAAAUGCUAGCUUUACCAAAUUUUCUAAGAAUGAGACUUUCUUAUCCAAACAUAAUAUGAAAGAGCUGUCAAAGGUGAUAUAUAAUCACAUU